GCAAUUUGGCUGUUGAUUAUCGAUGUUCUUUGAUGAAAUGGUCUUAAAAUGUAUCCAUUUGUAGAUGCAAGGCCAACAAUAGAGGUGACCACAUAAUGUAACAACAGGAUCAUGUACAACAUCCAGGCAAAUGUUGCACUCGAAACCUUCAGGUGAGUUUUCUUCAAGUUUAUCAAGAUCAAUUGUGUUCCAUUUUUCAAAGGAAAUAUCGCGUUGAUCAAAGGUAGUUUCUGGUAUUUGGUCUUGAAAAAUUUGUUGUAAGGCCAUAUUUGCCUCUUGGUAUUGAUUUAUUUUGAUAAUGGCAAGAUGAAGAAUGGUUAGAAUUCAGGUUUUUAAUACAAUUAGAAGUGAGUAUUUAUAAGGACAAGAAUAGUAGUUUGCAAACAAUGAUUCUUAAGGUUGUCACUUGUCAACAUCACAUUAUGUUAAAGGGGCAUGGCUAAAAAGAAAAGGCCCUACACAUUACUCCCUCCGUCCCUAUUUACUUGUCCAUAUUUCCUUUUUUGGUUGUCCCUAUUUAGUUGUCCAUUUUGACAAAUCAAGAAAGGACAACAAAUUUUUUCCUAUUAUACCCUUAUUUACACUUCUUGAAAAUUGUAAAAGUGUAUGUUGUUUCCCUCCAAUUUAUUUCACUUGAAUUCAAAUAAGUGGUUGUAAUUUUGAAGUGAAAAGUUGUCAGGGUAAAAUUGUAACUUCACUGUGCUAAUCAUUGUUGCCUUAAUCUGUGUGUCAUUUCUAAAGUGGACAACUAAAAAGGGACGGAGGGAGUAUUAAACAACACUAUAUCAUAUUAGUCAACUCAGUCUUAAUUUAUGCGGUACUGUUCGAUUUGAUAUAACGUUUAAUAAAGAAAAGAAGAUUUUUAAAAUAUGUGGUGUAAAAUAAAUAUUUAAUUAUUUGUGGUUAUAAAUCAUGUCAUUAAGAAUAAUAAAUGAAUUUAAAGUUUUUUCAAUCAUCAAAAUGUGAUAUUCUUUUUGUAUCAGACUGAAACAAAUGUGUUACAUAAAUUGGGACAAAUGAACUAUCACACACAUCAUAAUUAAGUGAUUUAAUGAAGUUGAAAAAUUAAUAUUAAUGGAUCAUGGUUAAGUGAGAGGAGUUUUGUGCAAACACAUCUUUUAUCUAUCUAUUUGAUUUAAACAAGUAUAAGUUUAUCAUAUUAGAAAUAUGAUUAGGACGUUAUAUUAGGCCCCAUGAUAAGAAUCUUAAUCUAGAAAAUAACUUUUAGUCAAUAAAAAGUAGCACUAGUUGCGUAAGUUCAAUUAUUAUUAUUAUUAUAUAUUAAUCUAAAAUUAUUAUAGAAGCUUCUAAACUCUAAAUUCAGAUCCAACUACGGAGUGAAUAUACAUAGUGGGGGAUGGGAGAAAGCAUAUGGACGGUGUGACAAAAAAAUAAAAGAAAUACUCCGUCCAUUCCAUUUGACUUACUAUUGUUUGACUUAAUACGAUGUAUAAGAGGAAAAAUGUAUCUUAGAAAAUUAUACGCUAAACAAUUUUUAUAUAAAUUGUAAAUCAUUUCAUUAAUUAAGGGUAGAUGGAGAAUUUUAAGUUAAAUUAUUUUCAAUUACAAUAAAAUGACAUUUUUAAAGACGGACUAUGAGAAUAGAGUGCCACGUAAAAUAAAACGAGAAAAUACUAUUUCCUUCGUCCCAUUUUAUAUGUCACCUUUUUUACUUUGCACUUGCAUUAAGAAAUAAUGUAACUUUAUCCUUCUACCCUUAUUUAAUGUUUUCUUAAGUCAACUUUAUGAAUAAAUGACAAGAUUAAUUAACUAUUCUAUCAAGGGUAUAAUAGACAAAAUAUGAUAAUUUAUGCAUAAAUUUUAAAUAGUGGCAAGUAUUGUGGUCCAUCUAUUUAUAGAAAGGAAUGACAUAUAAAAUGGGACGAAGUUGGUACUAUAUAUUACUCCCUCCGCUCCAUUUUAUAUGUCAUUCCUUUCUAUAAAUAGUUGGACCACAAUACUUGUCACUUUAUAAAAUUUAUGCAUAAAUUACCAUAUUUUUUCCUAUUAUACCCUUGAUAAAGUAGUUAAUUAAUCUUGAAAAUGUAUUCAUCAUUUAUUAUAAAGUUGACUUAAUAAAACAUUAAAUAAGAGUAAAAGAGUAAAAUUACAUUAUUUUUUAAUGCAAAUGUAAAGUAAAAAUGUGACGUAUAAAAUAGGACGGUGGGAGUACUACAAAAGAACGAGUCCGCACAUGAAUUUUAUAAGUACUACAUGUGUCUCGAAUUUAGCACCCUUUUGUCAACGUUUUAUAUUUUUGUUUACUUCGAAGCAAGUCUAUUCUAUACUAUCCAAUCAAUUAGGGGCGGCCGUUAAUCAGAUAUUAUUAGGCUAAAGAUAACAUAUUACUCUCUCUCUUUCUAAUUAUUUGUCUAUUUUUUUAAAUUGUUUUUAAUUACUUGUCCAUUUUGAUGAAUCAAGCAAGGACAAAUUUUUUUUACCUAUUAUACCCUCAAUUUAUUAUUUUGAAAAAGUAGAACUUCUUGAAAAUCUUAAGUUUUUAAUUUAUCCACUUCAUAAUUAAUAGGGGUAAAAUGGUAAACUCAUUAUGUCAAUAAUUGUUUUCUUAAUAUGUGUGUCAAUUAAAAAAUGGACAAAUAAUUAGGGAUAUAAAAAGUAUAUCGAAAUAAUAUAAUCAAAUAUUAUGCUAAAGAUAAUAAACAAAACUUUGAAGAAUUAUAAAUAAGAUAGCAAAAAAAUCCAUUAGAUAAUACAUAGUAAAUUAACAUGGUUCAACGAUUAGUGAUGGAAUCUGAAUAUGAUUCAAGAUUUUCACUAUUAAUGAAAUUCAAUAGGCAUAAUACAUAAAUGUGCUCUUUAACUUGACUUCAUUUUAUGUUUAUGUCCUUCAAUUUUGAGUAUGCACAAGUAUGCACUUAAACUUGUAUAAAAUUGAACAACUAGCCACAUGAGUUCUACAUGACACAAUACACUUAAGACACCAUGUAGGAUAAAAAAUGACAUGUAGGAUACCAUGUAGGACCUGUGUGUCUAUUUUUUCAACUUUAUACAAAUUUAAAUGUCUACUUGUGCACACUCGAAGUUGAAGGGCAUAAAUGUGAUUUGAAGCCAAGUUAAAGGGUAUAUUUAUGUAUUAUGCCUAUUCAAAAUAUGAAUAAGUAAACAUACAAAUUAGAUGACUACAAUAAUACAAAGACAAUUUUUUUUUUAAUUAUAUGUAUAAAUAGUAUAAUUUUCCAUUGAAGGUGGUUCAUUUGAUUCCUCACUUCUUUCCCUCAUUCAAAACUAUGCAAUAUGAGACUUUCAUGUCACAUGGAAUCCUUCCCUUUUUUUUUUUGGAAAUCUUAAUAGCUCAGUUAGUUGACUGACUAUUUGAAUUCUCGAUUCCCCAUACUGUAAUCCUCUACUCCCAAUUUUUUUUCAUUACCUUCCUCACAUAUGUAUAAUACCGAAUCCAAAGAUCUAAGAUGAGAGAAUUUUGGGAUAGCCGCCACUCCAACUAGCGCCAUGUAUUAUCCAUACUAGAUCUGACCAACUGUCCAUCCUACCCUCCUCUACGUUCUUGACAACCCAUUUUUGUCUUAGUCAAGUCUUUUAGUGGCACAUUUUGACCUUCUUUUCCAUUACUUAGAAAAAGUGAGCUAUUAUUCAGAUACAAAAUACUAUCAUUAUCGCCUAGAAAAUUAGACAUUCAACCCGUAAUCACAAUGAUCCAAUUACAAAUGCUUUGAACCCCCUAGGUCUAGACUGGCUCUGGCCCCUGGUUUUAUCACUUGACCUUCACAUGAGUAAACUCGUUGAUAUAGAGGAUUACAGUAUCGAUUUCUUUAAAAGAAAAAAAACCUUAAUUUAUAAAAGUUCAAAAGAUUUUAAUUCAAUGUUUGUAAGUCAGAAAACAUAUUUCAUAAAACGGUUGCAAAUCACAUCGAAUAAGUUCCAUUGAUUGGUGUAUGGUUCUCAUAAGGGAAGUAACAGCAGCAUAAGCCAUAUAUCCAAAAAAAGGGACUAUCUCUCACUCUCAGUAUGAAAAUGGACAAAUUAAUUGCCACAAGUUAUGUAAUUUUUCAGUUUUUAAGAAAACAGAAAAUGCAAAGAUCUUACUUUUACUAACUAUUUCCAUCACAUUUCCAGCUAGGUCCACUAACAGGAUAAAGUUGAAAGAUGUGAGGUCACUAACCUUAACUUCAAACAAAAGGUCUUUCUUUUAGUUAGGUUCAUAAUCCAUGUAGUGCUGUCUACUCUCUAGUCUCUAUCAACCAGCUCAAGUUUAAGGGUGUGUUUGGUAUGGAGGCCUAGUUUUUCUCAACUGUUCCAGUGUGAAUGUUUUAGUAAUAAAGCUGGUGCCACUGGAUUUAGCCUUUGCGAGGUAGAUUGAGGACUCCCAAGAAAGGAAACACACGUUAUAUAUGGAGCCUGUUCUGGCCUAUACAGUCUGUAUGUACAUAAAAUUUGGAGUAUCUAAAGAACCACUGACAAAUGAAAACGAACAAAAACAAACACUCACACAUUUGGCUUCUGAUUUGACAUUUAUUUCAGAGAACUGGCUAGUCCUCAGAAUACCUUAACUAUUUGAAUUGAUAAAAUCUUACCUAAAAUAAUAAUUGAAAAAAGUAUUUGAAAAAAUUAUUUAUAUAAAAGAUAUUUAGUAGUAAUUUACAUCUAAAAAUUUAGAAAAAUAAAUAAAUACAAAGAAAGUUUAUUUAGAUUUUAGGUCUUUAAUUAAAAUUUUGCUUUAGGCCUUGAAUCAUGUUGAGCCGCCCCUGAUCAUAUUACUCACUCAGUCAAAAUUUAUGUGGUACUAUUUGAUUUGAUGUAACAUUUAAUAAGGAAAUGGAGACUUUUAAAAUAUGUGGUGUAAAACAAAUCUUUAAUCAUUUGUGUUACAUAAAUUGGGACAGAUGAACUAUCACACACAUCAUAAUUAAGUGAUUUAAUGAAGUCGAAAGAUAAAUAUUAAUGGAUCAUGGUUAAGUGAGAGGAGUUUUGUGCAAACACGUCUUUUAUCUAUCUAUUUGAUUUAAACAAGUAUAAGUUUAUCAUAUUAGAAAUAUGAUUUAGGACCUUAUAUUAGGCCCCAUGAUAAGAAUCUUAAUCUAGAAAAUAACUUUUAGUCAAUAAAAAGUAGCACUAGUUGCGUACAAGGAGCUACCACUUGAUGAACUUCCACAGAACCACAUCCCAUAAGUUCAAUAGUUUUCACACUAUAAGAACUAGAUGUUUUUUUCCGCGUGAAUCAAUGAAAAUUGUAUGUUAUAAAACAUGAUUUUUUCCAUUUUAAUUUUAUUAAACUAAUUCACUAAGAAAAUCCAUAACAAAACAUAAGUUCUCAUUGAAAUACUGGAAAUAGUCACUUGGAAAUUUAGGAGUUUUAGGAAAUUAUGCAUCAAAACUUAGGAAGAGGCGGCUCAUAUAGAAAUUUGUUGUUAAAUCAUAAUAUAUACUUUUACAUAUGAAUAUCUUUAUUGAUUUGGUUAAAAUUAUAAUUAAAAAAAUUACAAUACAAUAUAUAUAGAUUCACAUAAAUUUAAUACUGUAAGUUAAUUAUUAUUAUUAUUAUAUAUUAAUCUAAGUUCAAUACAAUAUAUAUAGAUUCACAUAAAUAGAACUUUUUGAAAAUCUUGAGUUUUUAAAUCAUCAACUUCAUAAUUAAUAUGGGUAAAAUGGUAAACUCACUAUUUCAAUAAUUAUUUUCUUAAUAGGUGUGUCAAUUCAAAAAUGGACAAGUAAUUAGGGAUAGAAAAAGUAUAUCGAAAUAAUAUAAUCAAAUAUUAUGCUAAAGAUAAUAAACAAAACUUUGAACAAUUAAUGUAUGUAUGUACAUAAAAUUUGGAGCAUCUAAAGAACCACUGACAAAUAGCUAUACGAAAGAUCAUAUACAAUUAAAUUACAAGCCAUUUGCAAUCAUCCUGCCACCUUAUGCAGAAAAAAUGAAAACGAACAAAACAAACACUCACACAUUUGGCUUCUGAUUUGACAUUUAUUUCAGAGAACUGGCUAGUCCUCAGAACACCUUAACUACUCGCUGCAAGAAAAAAAAGGCAACAAAAAAUAGGAAAAAUAAUAUAGUUAGAUGUCCAUAAUUAAGGAACAGGAGAACAUUAUAGACAAGAAUGAGCAUGCAGGUAUAAGAACUUACACAUUAUUGCGGCAAGAAGCAACUUCUUUCUCAAAGUCAACAUCAUCAUCUUCAUAUGUUGUCACACUCUUGGGAAUGCUAGCCACAAAAGAUGAAAAAUGAAAUGUUACACUUCCCAAAAUCAAGAAUGAACAUGCAAGUAUAACAACUUACACAAUAUUGGAAGGAUUCGAAUCAAUCACAAUGACAGCAUCAAGAACUUUGUUGAAUUGGUGCAAUUUGACUUACUAAAGCUAUUAUCCAGAUCAUUAUCGAGUUUACUAUGAUGAUGAGUUGUCAAAAUCACAACAGUGAAACCUUGUUGAAAUCACUCAACAUCAAAGGGAGCUUUGGAUACAAGCAGUUAUCAUCAGUGAUGAAGAAGAAAAGAACUGUUCAUGUAAAAUGCAAAGCUUCGCUUUGGAUGUAUUGAUCUAAUGAGUAUUUAUACAAGAAAUGUAAAACUAAUGCUCUGUAACAAACUAACUGAAAGGAAUCUUCUAACUAACUACCAGCUGUACUAUACAACACUAUUAACUACCAGCUGUACUAUACAACACUAUUAACUACCAGCUGUACUAUACAACACUAUUAACUACCAGCUGUACUAUACAACACUAUUAACUACCAGCUGUACUAUACAACACUAUUAACUACCAGCUGUACUAUACAACACUAUUAACUACCAGCUGUACUAUACAACACUAUUAACUACCAGCUGUACUAUACAACACUAUUAACUACCAGCUGUACUAUACAACACUAUUAACUACCAGCUGUACUAUACAACACUAUUAACUACCAGCUGUACUAUACAACACUAUUAACUACCAGCUGUACUAUACAACACUAUUAACUACCAGCUGUACUAUACAACACUAUUAACUACCAGCUGUACUAUACAACACUAUUAACUACCAGCUGUACUAUACAACACUAUUAACUACCAGCUGUACUAUACAACACUAUUAACUACCAGCUGUACUAUACAACACUAUUAACUACCAGCUGUACUAUACAACACUAUUAACUACCAGCUGUACUAUACAACACUAUUAACUACCAGCUGUACUAUACAACACUAUUAACUACCAGCUGUACUAUACAACACUAUUAACUACCAGCUGUACUAUACAACACUAUUAACUACCAGCUGUACUAUACAACACUAUUAACUACCAGCUGUACUAUACAACACUAUUAACUACCAGCUGUACUAUACAACACUAUUAACUACCAGCUGUACUAUACAACACUAUUAACUACCAGCUGUACUAUACAACACUAUUAACUACCAGCUGUACUAUACAACACUAUUAACUACCAGCUGUACUAUACAACACUAUUAACUACCAGCUGUACUAUACAACACUAUUAACUACCAGCUGUACUAUACAGGUUUUCAGUGUUCUAGUAGAUCUUCUAGGUUGAACAGAUACAUCAAUGAGAGGGGCAACAUGAUCUGGAGCAGUAGGUGGUUCAAGUAUACGAGAAACUGUGGAUGGUAAAGGGGAAUGAAUUAUAGGUUCAGAUGGCAAAUUGCAUGUGACAGGUGAUUCUCCUAGAUUAGUUUGAGAAAUGCAAGUGGUAGGACUGUCAGUAUGAUCAAAAAUGUCAACAAAAGGAACAGAAGGCAACACAGAGGAAGGAAUGGAAGGAGUUGAAUUUGUAUGAAAAGGAAAAAUGUGUUCAUAGAAAACAACAUCCCUAGAUACAUGUAUCCUCUUUGUGGACAGGUUAAGGACCUUAUACCCUUUAGUCUCAAAAGGAUAUCCAAUGAAAAUAUGAGGUGUAGUCCUAGGUUCAAAUUUUGUUCUAUGGGGUAUUGGAACAGUAGGGUAACAUAAGCACCCAAAGCUUCUCAUAUGAGAAUAAAAAGGCUUUUUGUUAUAUAAUGCUUCAUAAGGGGACUUAUUUUUCAACACAGUUGAGGGAAGUCUAUUGAUUAUGUAUGUGGCACACAAAAGACAGUCUCCCCAAUACUUUAUAGGGAGUUUAGAUUGGAAUAAAAGUGCUCUAGCAGUUUCAAGAAGGUGUUUGUGUUUUCUUUCCACCACACCAUUUUGUUGUGGUGUGUAUGGACAUGUUUUCUGGUGGAGGAUACCUUUGGUUUGAAAGAAAAGAGUUGUUUCUGAAUUGACAAACUCUAAGCCAUUGUCUGUUCUGACUGUCUUCACAGUGGUGUUAAACUGAUUUUCUAUCAUGGCAACAAAAACUUUUAAUGCUUGUAGAGCAUUGCUCUUGGAGCUUAACAAUGUGGUCCAUGUAGAUCUACUGAAAUCAUCUACUAUUGUUAUAAAGUACUUAAAAUGGUCAUGUGUAGGUGUAUGGUAUGGACCCCAUAAAUCUACAUGUAACAACUCAAAAAUGAAAGAAGUUAAAAAGGUUCUUGUUUUGAAAGGGAGUCUUUCUUGUCUUGCCAUAGGACACACUGAACACAUAAAAGGUUGUUGUGGUGAAAAACUAGCAGGGAUAGUGGAAAUGCAUUUCAUUUUGACAAAAGGAACAUGUCCCAAUCUAUUGUGCCACAGAACAUUUACAUCAUUUUUAGCAUGUGCAUGAUGAUCUGAAACUGUAUUAUGCAAAUGAGAAGGAGAAGCUGAAAAAGAAGGAACAUGAGACUUGGCAACAAAAUCUUUAUUUCUCAAAGUCCCUUUUUCAGGGUAAUGUGUACAUUUAUGAUUUUUCAAACAAGAAGUAUCAGCUGCAACAUGAGGUUUACAAGAAUUGCACAAAUUUAAAUUGCUAGAUGAGGUUGAGUCUUUCAGAAACAAUGAACUAGAUGGGUUGGAACUCUGGACACACUUGGGACAUAGAAAAUAUAGGCCAUCUUCUGCCCUACCAAUCACCAGAGGCCUCUUCAUUGAAGGGCCCUGCAUGUAACAAGAAACUUUGUUGAAACUGACAGUGCAAUUUGAAUGUGAAGUCAUGGUAUGAAUAGAGAUUAAGUUGUAUUUGAAAGAUGGAAUGAAGAAAACCUUUUUCAAACUAAUCAUGGGAGACAAUGUCACACUACCAAUUUGUGUUACCUUAACCUUAUAUCCAUUUGGCAAUACUACUAAUAUUGGAUAUGGGAGUGUGAUAAUAUUGUGCAGUAAGGAUAUGUUGAAAGUCAUGUGGUUUGAUGCUCCAGAAUCUAGUAUCCAUGAGUCAGACUUAUUUUUGAAACAUUCACAUGAUAGUUUCCCAAAAUCAAUAGAGGAGGUGCAAACUAUAGUACCUGCAAAGUCAACAGUGCCACCAGUGAAAUUUGAGUUGCCAUCAUCACCAUGCUCUCCCUGAAAAUGUUGAAGCAUGUCCUGUACUCGACCAUAUUGAUCUUUGGUAAGAUUCACACUGUACAUCUCCUCAUGAUUAGAGUUAUCUGCAGAUCUCUUCCCAUUCUCGGAAUCUUGUGCACAAUGGACAUUUGCGACUGCCCUAUGUCCAUUACCUUUGAAUCUAAUGCCCUGUGGAUUAUGUCCUCCUCGAACAUUGUUAAAUCUCUGAUUUGAGCCUUGGUAGUCAUUGUUUCUCUGAUUUGGAACUGGUUUGUUGGAAUUUGGAUUAGAAGAUUGGCGGUUGAAGGUUUGGUUUGAAUUGGAUGGAUAACCAUGAAGCCGAUAACACUUCUCAACAAGAUGACCAGUUCUCUUGCAAUAGUCACAGAAUUUGUCUUUGUACUGCAGAGAGGGUUUGGAAGUAUUUGUGGUAUAAUUUGUUCUGUAAUUGGAGGAUCUGCUGGUACCAACAUGUAACGCAGCAGACUCCAAGUUUGGGUGAUUGGCUGGCUUAAUUUCCCUCUGUUGUUCCUCCUGAACCAACAAGGAAAAAGCUUGCGCCAUAGAUGGCAAAGGAUUCAUCAUGAGUAUGCUACCUCGCAUUAUUGUAUAAACUUCAUUAAGUCCCAUAAGGAACUGAAUCAAACGACGAUCCUGCUCCACCUUGUGAACAAUUGCCUUGGCUCCACAAGUGCAAUCACAGGUGCAAUUAGCUUUGGCACUCAAAGUACUAAGCUCUUCCCACAACUUCUUCAAUUUGGUAUAAUAUCCAGUUAUAUCCAGUGAUCCUUGAGACGUAUCAUUGAUCUCUUUUUGGAUUUGAUACAGCUUCGCUCCAUUAGUUUGUUCAUACCUGUCCUCCAAUUCUUUCCAUAGCUCUGUUGAAUCCACAACAUACUCAACACUAUCAGCGAUUUCCUUCGAUAAGGAGUUAAGAAUCCAUGAUGUGACAAUGUCAUCACACCUUUCCCAUUGCCUGUAGGUUGGAUCAAUGCUUUUGGGUCGCCGACAUUCUCCAUUGAUGAAACCCAAUUUGUUCUUCACUGACAGUGAUCGUAGAACACUCCUCCUCCAUGAUCGAUAACCAAUCCCGGCAAACGGUACUGACACCAACAUAGCACCCGGAUUAUCAGAUGGGUGCAUAUAUAAGGGAUGGUUGGAAUCAAUUGAGGGAACGACUGAAUCACUUGACUGAGCAGAAUCACCUGGAAUGGCCAUUUCUCAGCAAGAAAAAAAAUCGAAGAACACCACAGAAGAAAACAGAGAAAAUUUGAUCUGAAAACGAAUACAAAUCGAACACCUCAGAAUCGAGUGUGCUCUGAUACCAUGUCAAAAUCACAACAGUGAAACCUUGUUGAAAUCACUCAACAUCAAAGGGAGCUUUGGAUACAAGCAGUUAUCAUCAGUGAUGAAGAAGAAAAGAACUGUUCAUGUAAAAUGCAAAGCUUAGCUUUGGAUGUAUUGAUCUAAUGAGUAUUUAUACAAGAAAUGUAAAACUAAUGCUCUGUAACAAACUAACUGAAAGGAAUCUUCUAACUAACUACCAGCUGUACUAUACAACACUAUUAACUACCAGCUGUACUAUACAACACUAUUAACUACCAGCUGUACUAUACAACACUAUUAACUACCAGCUGUACUAUACAACACUAUUAACUACCAGCUGUACUAUACAACACUAUUAACUACCAGCUGUACUAUACAACACUAUUAACUACCAGCUGUACUAUACAACACUAUUAACUACCAGCUGUACUAUACAACACUAUUAACUACCAGCUGUACUAUACAACACUAUUAACUACCAGCUGUACUAUACAACACUAUUAACUACCAGCUGUACUAUACAACACUAUUAACUACCAGCUGUACUAUACAACACUAUUAACUACCAGCUGUACUAUACAACACUAUUAACUACCAGCUGUACUAUACAACACUAUUAACUACCAGCUGUACUAUACAACACUAUUAACUACCAGCUGUACUAUACAACACUAUUAACUACCAGCUGUACUAUACAACACUAUUAACUACCAGCUGUACUAUACAACACUAUUAACUACCAGCUGUACUAUACAACACUAUUAACUACCAGCUGUACUAUACAACACUAUUAACUACCAGCUGUACUAUACAACACUAUUAACUACCAGCUGUACUAUACAUAUAUAUACAUACAUCAUACAUUAUAAUCUCAACAAAUAUUAUUGUAAUUUGUAAAUCAAGGAAGAAGAUGUCUUACAAAAGCUCACGAGUAUGGACCUCGAUAGAGCUUCCAUAGUUGUCUUGAAUGUCCUGUUGAAUUUGCUUGGCGGAAUUCCCAACAGAUUGUUGACAUUUACUUAUAUCAAUAAGAGCAAGUGUGGUUAUAUCUGCAAAAUCUCGAGGGAUUGAAUCCAAAGAAUAGCAAUCUUUAAGAAAAAGUCGUUCAAGGUACGGAAAGUGAUCACUACUAGCUCUCCAGUACUGAAUGUAUACGUCAUCCAGAGACAAGAACUUCAAGUGAGGAAACCCUUCCUCAACUACUUCCCACUCCUUGCCUUUGAAGGCAUUGCCUGAUAGUUUAAGGACCUCGAGUUUGGGUAAUUUACCAACAAUGCUCAAAUCCCUCCAUGCCAAAGAGAAUUCUCCCCUAAAAGUUAAACUCUUAAGGUUUUGUGGAAAAGCAUCCGGAGGAGGUAAGAGUAAAGUUGGAACAUCAGUUGGAGGUGCAGUUCCCCCAAAAUCAGUCUCUUUGUGCAAUGUUUCCGUCUGAAACCUCAGAGGAUCUUGCGGAGUAUAACCUGAAGGUGCAGUGUUUUUUAGAAAGCAAGCAUCAUAUGGAUGAUAAAAACCAAAUGCCAAUUUCUCGAGCUGAUACAAGUAGCGAAAAUCAUACAGGUCCUUGUGAUUGCGAAAGUCCUCUCGGACGCCAAAUACUUCCAACUUCUUUAAAUUGGGAAAUAGUCUAAAAAAAGACUCUGUACAAUACCGAGGAUUCAAUUGAUUGAGGCAUUGCAAACUUUUCAAAACCAAUCUGUUCUCUGUAGGCUCAUGACUCCGCAAGUAAUUCCAGCCAAUACACAGCGUCCUCAAUUGUGGCAUCGUCAAAAUUUCCGAUGGUAAUAUGAAAGGAUAACCUACUUUACAGGUAAAUGGAGAGUAAAGUUUAAAAGUUUGCAGAUAGCAUAGGCUUGAUAUCGAUAGAGGAAUGUCUAUUAUUGAUGAGGGAACAGCUUCUUUCGAUCUUAGAUACUGCAGUACGCAAGGAUAAAAACACAAACAUAGGUAUCUCAAAUGAAUUAGAGAAAGUACUCCACUGGGAAAGAUUGGGCAUAUAGUCAAACCAAGAUCUAGUACUCUUACUAGCUUGAAAGACAAUUCCAGUGUGACGCAUUUGAAUAAACGCAACAUGAUAAUAGAAUGAGCCUCACUGUUAUGACACCAAGCCAAUUCUUCCUCCUUAUAGAUACUGAUCCGACUUCGACUCUUAAAGGAACACUGCAUGGAUUGUGCACAUGAAUUUUGAUCACUCUUUCCUCUGAUAACAUUCACAAAAUUCAUGUUUCGAGCUUCCUUCAAACAGAGUUCACGGGUCACAUCAUGCAUUCCACAUCUCUCUAUUUCCCCAUCAAAACUCAAAUUGUGGAUAGAAAUUAGACUUCUAUCUACAAGUUCGUUUAUACAUGUUUCUGCCACCUCUUCUAUGCUUUUUCCCUCUUCUUCAUUCAAAAACCCCUCUACAGCCCAUAACUCAACAAGUUCACUUACAUAAAUCUGUUCAUCCUCUGCGAAAAUUGCAAAAUACAGAAAACAUGGUUUUAGGUGAGAAGGCAAGUGAUGGUAACUCAAAGCCAACACUCUCAUGCAUUUUGCUUCAAGAUCUGUGCUUACCACCGAACUUACAUUCUCCGCAACAUUUUGCCACUCAUCCAAUGUUUUACUGAUUUUGGAGAGAAGUCCAGCAAUCACAGUAAUUGCUAGAGGUAACCCUCCACAUUUUAAUGUCAAUUUGUUUCCCAAUAUUUUCAAAUUCAGGAGAAUAAGAACCUUCUUUUUCAAAGAUCUUUUGUGUAGUAAAUUCCAACUUUCGUCAAAAUUCAUGAGGCGCAUAUGAUGAGGAGGCUUACCUGAACUAGCAUAUUCAGCCACUUCCACAUUCCGAGUAGUCAGGAGUAUUCUGCUUCCAUUAUUACAGUCUGGGAAACAUUGUUUUAUAUCAUCCCAAGCUUCUGUAGUCCAUAUGUCAUCAAUGACUACCAAGUAUCUCCUGCCUUUCAGAUUCUUUUGCAGUCGGUCCGCUAGCUGAUCAUCAGGUUCAUUACUUAUCGAAGAAAGAAGGCCUAGGAUUACAUUUCUCACACAAUACUCUUGUGAAACAGUUGCUUUUGCACGAAUAUCAAAUCGAGACAUAAUGUAAGGAUCACUAUAGAGUUUUGUAGCCAAAGUUGUUUUCCCGAUACCUCCCAUCCCUACGAUUGAGACAACUUCUAGUUCCCUUCCUCCUCUAGCAAGUUGAUCCAGCAUCAUCUCAAAUUCAUUUUCACGGCCAACCAUUAUAUUCUCGGGCUGCUCAACAUCAUGUUCAGGUAAACUGACAAGUGAGCUAGUUUGUGGUUUUAGAUCUUUCAUGCUGUCCGAUGCUGCCAUCCACUGUUUCACGGUGGAAUCAAUGCAUUCUAGUGCUUGUUCCAAGACGAAAAAAAUCUCCCACAUAGCCCUGCUUCUUUCCUCCAAAUUCUGUGCUAAAAAAACAUUUCUUGAUUCCGAGUCAACCAUAUCUUCUGUUGUGUAUGCUACCUCUACGAUUUCAACUUCCAAGAUUGUUAACUCCUCAUGAUCGCCCGUUAUAUUGCAGGAAUUCUCCAGAAUAGUUCUUAAAGAUUCGAGCUUUUCAUAAAACGGUUGCAAAUCACAUCCAGUAAGUUCCAUUGAUUGAUGUAUGGUUCUCAUAAGGGAAGUAACAGCAGCAUAAGCCAUAUAUCCAAAAAAUAGAAAUAUCUCUCAGUAUGAAAAUGGACAAAUUGCCACAAGUCAUGUAAUUUUUCAGUUUUUAAGAAAACAGAAAAUGCAAACUUCUUUCUUUUACUAGGCUAUUUCCAUCACAUUUCCAGCUAGGUCCACCAACCUUAUCAUCAUGUAGACAAAAGCAGAGACCAAAGUUUAAAAAAAGAAAAAGAAAAAAAGACAGGAUUCUAACUGGAAAAAGUUGAAAAAAUUGUGACCAUUCAUUAUUAUACCUUACACUUAUCUAUUCAUGAAUAUAAGUAGGGAAAAGGGCCUCAUUUACCCUGAACUUUAUGAUUUGGAGCUGAUAUACCCUUCGUUUAAAAAAUGGCCCAUAUAUGCCCCUGCCGUUAUAGAAAUGGCUCAUAUAUGCCCUUUUACUUAACAGACCAAUAUUUAAUAAAUUAAAAAUUCAUUUUUUUAUGCUUUAAUUUGAGAAAAUGCCACGUGGCUCUUAAAAUACCCCACCCAAUAACUUUUCAGCAACCCGACCCAAUGGAAACAAGAAAACCCCAUCCACUUAAAUAAACCUAGCCCAUUUCAUUCUAUGGUCUCCACUCUCCACGCUUGACAUGAAAAAAAAUCAAAAACUUGUUAGGGUUUCAGUGAGCUCUAAACUGGUGUCAAUCAAUCUCAAUAAUGUUCAAAAUCUUAGGUAAGUUUCGAUUAUUUUCUUCCCUUACUUUUAAGGAUCUUUGGUGUUAAAAAUAUAGGAUAAUAUGUGAGAAAAGUGUAACUGAGUUUACCUAUGUGCUUUUUUCCCUUGACAUUCUGUCCAUGGAAGGUUUAUUUUCUUACUUUAAUACAUGAGUUUAUCUCUUUGUAUGCAGAGAUGGAAUCUUUGUUGGUCCCCAAAUAGUUAUUGUCUCUUUAGUAUUUUAAAAUUCAUUUUUCAAUUGGUUGGUGUUAAAUGCUAAGGUGGUCCCUUAUGUCUAAUUUAUUUGCUUGUUGCAGGUGUCAUUUUGAAGGAUGAUUAAAGAAGUGGAUAUUGUUUUCAACUAUGGGGGCAAUAGGGUAAUUUCCCCAAAGCUGGGAUACAAUAUAAAAUUUCAGCACACCUGGUAUUAUAAUACUUGUUUAGUUUGUUAUGAUGAUUUGUGUGAAGCUUUUACUUCCAAAUUUGGAUUUAAGGAAGUUCAACAAUUGUUGGUCACUGGUCCAUCUGGUACUUAUUAUGUAAUUGAAGAUAAUGAUGGAAUUAAGACUCUUCAAUACUUAUUUUCAGAAGAUUUCAAGGUAAUAGAUUUUUAUGUUGUAGAUGCUCAUGAAUUGAGAGUUUCUGCCACAAAUAUCAUAUAUCAUACUGAAUCAUAUUUUGUGGAUGUUGAAGCUGCUACUGAUUGUGAUUAUAGUGAUGUGGAGGAUGAUACUCUUUAUGAAAUGGGCAACAGUUGUGAAAUUGUUGAAUAUAAUGUUGAAGUGCUUCAACGUUAUGAACAUGAAAAAGAGAGAGUUGUGAGUGAUGGACUUGAAAAGUUUAAGGAAUUAGAAAUGGGUAUGACCUUUAAGACUAUUGAAGAACCUAGGCAGGUUGUUAGCUUUUAUGCUAUGGCUAACAAAAGAAGUUGAAAACAAAAAAAAGUGAUACAAAAAGAAUUAGGUAUGAGUGUUAUGAUGGUUGUCCCUUUUACUCUUCUCAUAUCUAAGGAUGGAAAAUCAGCAACAUUUAAGGUUAAAACAUUGAUGCCUAAGCAUACUUGUGGUGAUUCUUUUGUUAAUCCAUUGGAAACUUAUCAUACCUUGGCUGUUUAUUUUAAGGAUGAAGUUCUAAACAAUCCAAAAUACCCUAUCAAAGACAUGAGAGGAAUUCUUGAAAAAAAAUUCAAGUUGAAUGUCUUAAGAUCCAAACUAAAAAGAGCCAAAACAAUGGCUCUUGAUAAGUUGGAAGGCAGUUUCAAAGAUGACUACAAUAGGCUUGAAGCUUAUGGUCAAGAACUUAGACAAUCAAAACCAGGAUCUGAUGUGGUAAUUAAUAUCUCUAAAGAUGCACUUGAACAAGGCAUAAGAAGGUUUUUGAGAAUGUACAUUUGCUUCAAGGCUUUGAAGGAUGGAUGGAAAAGUUUGAGACCUAUAAUUGGUUUAGAUGGAACAUUUCUCAAAGGAAAAUGCAAGGGGCAACUAUUAGUAGUUGUUGGGCAAGACUCAAUGAAUCAUUUUUACCCAAUAGCUUGGGCAGUGGUGGAAAAGGAAAACACAGGAACAUGGACAUGGUUUAUUCAGUUGUUGAGGAUUUCGUUGGAGUUGAAAAAUGGUGAAAUUGUGACAUUUAUGUCUGAUAUGCAAAAGGUAGCUUUAAAUUUAUUUUUUUCUUAUUGCCUUUUCUUUAUCUUUUUUCUUACUGUCAUUUUUUUCUUUUCGAUUUUUAGGGCCUGUUCGAUGUUGUAGCUAAUGUUGUUCCAGAAGCACACCAUAGGCUUUGUGUGAGGCAUAUAGAAUCUAACUGGUGCAAGAAAUGGCGGAGUGGUGAAGAGAAAAAAUUGAUGUGGUGGUGUGCAUGGAGUACCUAUGAAGAAGAAUUCAAAGACACUUUGAAGGUGUUAGGAAAGGUGGAUGAAGAUUCAGCUAGUGAUCUUCUUCAUUUUCCUGUAAUUAAAUGGUGUAGGGCAUAUUUUGAUACUCAAUGUAAGAAUCUAAUGGUAGACAAUAACUUCACCGAGUCUUUUAACAGUUGGAUACUUGAAGCUAGAAAAAACCAAUCAUUAAAAUGUUGGAGGAAAUUAGAGUGAAGGUGAUGAAUAUGUUGGUGAAAAAUGAAAAAAUGGGCAGAAAAUGGCAAAAUGAUAUCAGUCCAACGGUUAUGAAAUUGUACAAUGACUAUCGAUUAAUGGCUACCAAUGGUACAGUUGAGUUCAAUGGAGAUUAUGGUUAUGAAGUGAAAGAUGGAGACACGGACACACAUACAGUGAAUUUGGAGUUGAAGAAAUGCAUUUGUAGAUUAUGGGACUUGGGUGGAAUACCGUGUCACCAUACCAUCAAGGCAAUUUUGCAUAAAAAAACUGAACCAUUGGAAGAGGUUCAUUACUGCUAUAAAAAGAGGCUUAUUUGUUAACAUACAAGCACAAGUUGCAACCAGUUAGGGGUUCUCAAUUCUGGAAAAUCGACCAUGCUCAAGCAAUGGAACCUCCGAAAAUGGUAAAACUUGUUGGCAGACCCAAGAUGAAAAGAAAUAAAGAAACUGAUGAGGCAAGUUUGAGAAAGGGGGCAUGGAAGCAGUCAAGAAAAGGAACUCUAAUGAGAUGCAACAAAUGUGGUGAUUUCAAUCACAAUGCUAAGGGAUGUUAUAAGGUAAUCUCUCUUAAUAUUUUCUUUUAGUUAAAAGGUGUUCAUUUUUGUCAAUCACAACAAUUUUUUUGGGUUGAAGGACCAUGAAGACGGUGAAAGUUAGCAUGAAAGAAAUAAGAAAGCAAGCAAUCAAAAGUCGAGGAGUUGAGCAAGAAAAAACUCUAUUGUAGAGUAUGAGACAGAAGCUUCACCCCAACAAUUUCAGACAAAACAGUCGACUGCCUAUGGUCCUAAGAUCGGGAAUGAUGAAGAUCCAGCAUUGCGACCAAUGGUAAUUUUUGAGACAGAAACAAGGAUGGAAAAGAGGUCUCGAAUAUUUGAAGGAAUAGGAAGCAGGAAGAUUGUUUUUUAAGGGGAUGCAAGAGGAAUCUCGACCCCUUCGGAUCUACCAUAUUCACCAAAGAAGACUACUUGAAAGGGCAAGAAAGCAGUCACAAUUGAUCAGUUACAAGCUGAAGUAAAGAAGAAAAGAGUGAAACAAAUGGCAAUGAAGGGCAAAUGGCCCGUGGAUACUAAUGAUGAUCUAGUUUAGAAGUCGUUGUGUGGUUGAUCAUUUUUUGACAUUAGGUGGUUAUUUUGGAUAGUAUUAUAUGAUGUAAAUCCAAACAAUUUCUUUUGUUGCUAACCAUAUAAUAGAUAUUUGUGGUUGGUUUAACCACCAGAAGGUUAAUCUUCUUUUGCUGGUAACUUGUGUUAAGAUAAUUUUAUAAAAAUUGAGAAUUAUAUUCUACUGCAUCUGGUGUAAUUAUUGUUGAUUGUAUUUUGUGUGAGAGAGUAAAUUUAUGUGCUUUGAUUGGUAGCGUUGUUUAAAUUACGACUAAAAUUAGCAUUGUUCACGAUCUUCUUUGAACUAGUAGAUAGCUCACAGAUGAUUCAACGUGGAAUGUCAAGGAGUCAUUGAUGAUUCUCUAUCAUUUUACCUCGAGCUUUUGAUUCUCUUUCAUUACUAAAUAAUACAAAAGUUGACAAAAUCACUACACAAGACCAAAUAAGGUGAAUCAAAAGUUGUCAUAAAUCAAUACAAUGAACCAAAAGUUAAUUACACAUAAGUCACAAAACUGCAAAUGAGAUGAAAAAGUUUAGUCGCAUAAUAUGGCCUUGGAAUCUAUCAUUUAAAUUCCCAGAAAAGAUAUGAUCCUACAAAGUACUACUAUAUUUCCAAAUUUUACAAACUUUUUGCCUCAGUGAGUGAAGAAAAGAACCCAACUAAGCAACUGAAUGUAAAAUAACUUCAAACUUUUCUCUCGAAUUUUAAGAUUUCAUAAACGCAAUGACUCCGUCCACAGUUCGUUCGCGAACACUCUGAAUAUGUGGUGUGACGGCCAAUAAAACUUCAGCAGACUCUUGAUUUUCACUUGUAGCUGCAAGAUGUAUUAGCAUGUAAUUAUCACUGACAGUAUCCCCUGCCUUUACCACACAACGAAAGAAUGAACUGCCGCAACUGCUAGCAGAGGACACAUAUUAUCAUCUCCUAUUUGAGCAUCAAAAUUAGCAUGGUGUUUUAGCAAAACCGUAAUAGCAUCUUCCUGGCUGCGGUCUACAACGCAUAUUAAUGGUGUUCCAACAUCAACAUCACUUCGCAAAUCAACGUCUACACCUAUCGGUAGAAACAAUUUAACCAAUUCAAUAUGCCCAUUUCCUGCAUCAUUAAAUGGACAAAAUAAAACACAUAAGAAUAUCACUUCAAGCAAAGAAUAUCAAGAACAAAUUUACCCUAUAACUCUAACACCAAAGGUCCUUAAAAGAAAAGGGAAGAAAGUAAUCGAAACUUACAUAAGAUUUUGAACAAUAUUGAGACUGAUUGACGCCAAUUUAGAGCUCACCGAAACCUACCAACAUUUUGAUUUUUUUUCUUGUUGAGCGUGGAGAGUGGAGACCAUAGAAUUAAAUGGGUUAAAGUUUAUUUAAGUGGGUGGGGUUUUCUUGUUUUCAAUUGGGUCGGGUUGGUGAAAAGUUAUUGGGUGGGGUAUUUUAAGAGCGAUGUGGCAUUUUCUCAAAUUAAAGCAUAAAAAAAUGAAAUUUAAUUUAUUAAAUAUUGGUCUGUUAAAUAAAAGGGCAUAUAUGGGCCAUUUCUAUAACGGCAGGGACAUAUAUGAGCCAUUUUUUAAACGGAGGGUAUAUCAGCUCCAAAUCAUAAAGUUGAGGGGUAAAUCAGGCCCUUUUCCCAUAUAAGUAUGUUUCUUACAUACAAGAGAUUGAUGAUUUUAAUUCCAUUGAAAGCUACUUAGUAGAAUUUUCCAAAUCAAAGAGAGAGAAAUAUUAAGAUCCAAGUAGGAAUUUCUCUAUUCCUAGUUCGAUUCAAUUAACCAAGCAUAAAUAUCUCUUAAUAUACAAGAGAAGUUUAGACUCUAAAAGUCAAAUCAACAAAAUAUUGAUGGGCUAACACAUGAAAAACUACUGAGAAAAUCGCCUAAUUCCUGUAAAUUGUCCCUUAAAUACCCAAAAUGGACUCUAAAAAUUGUUAGAAUGUACGUAUUGCUCCCCCAACUCCCUACUGAGGGUUUUGUAAAGAUUUCGAUUAGAAAUCGUCCAUAAGUCAUAUCACUAAUAUAUUAAUGGUUAACACACACGACAAACUGAGAAAAUUAUCUAAUUUCUUUAAAUUGGCCCCUAAAUGCCUAAAAUGGACUCUAAAAGUUGUGAGACUGUACAUACUGCUCCCCCGACUCCCUACAGAGGGUUUCGUAAAUGUGUAGCAAAGAAAUCGUCUGAAAGUCAUAUCACUGAAAUAUUAAUGGGCUAACACAUACAAAACACUGAGAAAGUCGCCUAAUUCCUGUAAAUUGGAAUUCUAAAAUUGUGAGACUAUACGUAUUGCUCCAUUAACUCUCUAUGGAGGGUUCCGUAAAGAUUUCACAAAGAAAUUAUUCGAAAGACUUAUCACCAAAAUAUUCAUGGGCUAAUACAGACGAAUUGAGAAGAUCACCUAUUUCCUAUAAAUUAGCCGUGGGAUACCUAAAAUGGACUCUAAAAAUUGUGAGACUAACUCCCUACGAAGGGUUCCAUAUAAGUUUCGCAAAAGAAAUCAUUCAGAAAUCAUAUCACCAAAAUAUUUAUGGAUUAACACACACGAAAAAUUGAAAAAAUCGCCUAAUUCUUUUAAAUUGGCCCCUUAAUCCCUUUACGAGAUUAAUUAGAGAUGCGCGAGCGCGCGCACACACACACAUACACACACAUAUAUAUAUAUAAAGAAGAGAAGCUAGUUGUAGGGUUUGAUUGCCAUAAAAUACUUAGACAAUGUGGGUGACGCACAUUGUGAAUCUCAUGAAUUGACUCGUGGAUCAUUGUGAUAUUGGCCCAUGAAACUUAGUCUUAGGGAAAGAUUGUUGGGUGUGAGAUUGAAUUUCCACAUUUGAGAAGCUAUAUAUAAGGUGUAGGAUCUCUUAAGGGAAAAUUUCAUGUAUGGAAAACGUAUUUAAUGAAAUAACGCUCUAUAGGUAUAGUUUAGUAAUUACAUUCAAUGGGUAGUUUAGUUUGCUAUGAAGCAUUAAUUUUGUAUAUAAUGUUUUUUUUAAAAAUAAUUUAUACAAUAUUUUUUUUAAUAAAUGGAUACAUGAGCGCUAAAUACAGUAACAAAAAAUUUACAUAAUCCCAUGAUUCAAGCUAAUCGUUCAAAAUCAAAUAUUUUUCCAAAAAAGAGUUCUAUAGCAAUAGAAACACCAUAACAGCUGGUUUCCUCAAACGACUGAAGCAUACGAUUAAUCAAUAUUCUUGUAUAUUCAACACCAGGUAAGCGUUUCUUUCAAGGAAACUUCAUGUUUUGAACGGCAAGAAAGUAUACAAUUGAUUUGUAUAGUAUAUAAUUGAAAUUUUGGAAAACGGAUUAUUUUUGUUUUGUUCAUUCUAAUGGUUCGCAAUAAUUUAAUUUUGUUUAUACAAUAUUAGAUAAAUUUUAUAUUAACAAUUCAAUUCUAAUUUUUUGUUCAAAAAAUUGAAUGACACAAUUUGUAUAUAUGAAGUGUAUAUGAUUCGACAACAAUGGUGUGCUUUAAUUUGCUAAUUUUUGUUGUUGUUGUUGUUGUAAUUUUACUGUAUAAAUAAGUUAUACGAUUUGUAUAUUGUUUAAUUGGUAAUAUUGUAUAUAUGUAAGUAAUUGUAUACAAUUAUUAUACCAUAAAUAAGUGUAAGUAGUUGUAUAAAAUUACUAUGACAAUUAUAUAUAUGAAUUGUAUAUGAUUCAAUAAAAAAGGUGUGCUUUAAUUUGAUAAUUUUUGGUGUAACCUAAUGUUGACACCCAUUUUUGGACCUCCACAAUAUAUAUUAAUUCUCGAGCUUCUUAGAUUUCAAAUGAUUUGGAGUUAUUAGUUUAUAAAAUUUAAAUAUUUUUUAAAAAGAUUUUUGAAGCGAUUUAGUCGGCUUUAUAAUAUUUUAGAUAAUAGAUGGAUUUUACAUAAUUACUUAUAUAAUCAACGUGUAUUAUUAGCAUUUGGAAAUCAUCUUGAAAUAUUUUGCAUUUUUUAAAAUUAACUAUGUUAUUAAUUUAGUUUAGUAUAAAUUAAAGUUAUGAUUCUGAGUUAUUUGAAUUAGUUAGUUUAUAAUUAAAUUGUUUAUUUUAUUUUUGUUAAGAUUAAGAAGCUUGUUAAUUAAUUAAUAACAAUUCAUCUUAUUUAGACUUUGGCCGAAUUCACCAAUUAAUCCCAAUUUGGCUAAGUUUUAACUCUGAAUGGUUAUAAUCGUAAUCCAUUUAGCCCUUCUUGAUAUUGCAAUUUUAACCAUUCUCUAACCUUACCUCUAGCUUAUUUAAAUAAUCACCAAGGGGCUUUUAUCCUUGAUUACAUUUUCAGCAACACCCAAGCCCAUUUUUCCAUCAGCGUACAAUUAUUUCCAGCCAAUAAACUCCAGCAGUCCAUACCCACCCUCCAAUUCCCAUUACAGCAUACAACAAUUCCCAGUGAUUCAAACAUACACGUAGAGCAGCACCAACCGACCCCAUCCCCUUUAUUUCGCUCAUCUCCUCGUCCGUUUCAAAGUAAUAUUCUGGUGUUUGGAAGCAUCUGUUCUGUGAUUGUUCGUUGUUAUUUUUCAUAGGAUUGAUGAUGUUUUUAACGUAUUAAAUGUACACUUAAUUGUUUCCAUCAGUUAGUCCUAAUAUGGGGUCAAGUUCCGGAGAGCCAUUAAAGUUUUAUUUUGUUGUAUUUCUUUUCUUGAGCCUGCUCCUCGAACAUCGUCGAAUCUAUGUUCUUUUCGCUUUAGCAUCUUGAAUAUUGAAAGUUCCAUUCACUUUAUUACUGCUAAUGUUCUCUGUUCUUCCUUUGAGAUGAGGAAAAAUCUUCCGUACAAAUUGUAUGUUGUUGUAGCUGCUGUUCGGUAGGCAUAAGUGGUUAUUUUCUUCUUGAUUAAAUUUCAUGGCCGUCCUAUUUUGCAUUGCGAAUGUGUAACUGUUUAUUUGGUUUUUAUUCCUCCUCAUUUUCAGCAUAUUUCCAUAAUUUUGGUUGAGUGUAUUGCUUAUUCUAACUUGAAGCUAAAUGUUUAUAAUAAUUUCGUUGGUUGUCUGCUUAAAUGUGGGCUGAAUAUCAAUACUAUUCUUUCUAAAUGUUAAGUUAUACUCGUUCUUUUUGGUUUUUUUUCUUCCGAGGAUUUGCUUUCGACUAUAGUUCUGUUUCUUUUGUGCGUGUGUUUGGAGGUCGGCAUUUGGUUUUAUGCCAGCCUAGUUUUACAUAUCUCUUUUCACUUUCAUGGAAACCUUUGAUGUUAUAGCUCUACUUGUCGGAUUAGGUUUAAAAAAAUGAAAUGCAUCUUUGUUCUUCUCAAAUUUGUUCCAUGUUUUCUUGGUUUUUUAAAAAAAAUGGUAUAGCUGAUUAAAAUAGCAUUAGUUUAGCUCGAGAUUUCCUUAAUACCGUGUUGCUAUUUAUUCUAUCUCGCAUCUUAUAACUCGAUAUUAUUUGUCUUGGGUUCUUUGUGGCUUUUAUUUCGAAAGUUUUGCCUUGCUAUCGUGUCAAUUUUCGUGCUUGUUGUUUGUAGCUGCUUGAGAAAAUAUGAAUGACCACUUUAUAAAAAAAAAAAAAAAAGGAGUUAGAAUCAACAAUGGGUUGCUGUUUGAAUAAUUGACCUUCAGCUUAUUUUGCUCAAAUGUUAAGUCACGUAUGUUCCCAAACACGGUUCGUAUACAAUGGUACACGUGAUGUGUAUACACAGAUUUCUUGAAGGAAAAUGGGGGGCAAAAGCCCAAGGAAAUUUCAGCAAGUCCAAGAUUUGGGCCUAAUUUGAUAUUCCUCUCCUUGCUCUUAUUUAUUUUGUUAUAUUUGACUAACGUUUUGAUUAUCUUAUGAUUUAAUCUAAUUAAAUUUUCCAAGAAUGGUCAUUUCAUUUUAUUUUUCGAAUUAAAGUAUAUAUAUUUUAUUACUUAGUUUUUAUUUUAAUAUUUGUCUUGUUGACAUUUUAUGAACUAUUUCCCUUUAGAAAAUUCUCCUUUAGUUCAUUCCCCCUUAAGAUAAAUAAAAUGAUAAAAAUAAUAGUAAUAAAUAAAUGAGUUCAUUUACUUAGCUAAAUUUUUUUUUAAAUAAGUUAAAAUAAAUGAGUUCUUUUACUUAGUUAAAAUUUCAAAAAUUAGUCAAAGUCGUUAUGAGCUCUUUUAUACUUAGUUAAAAUUUCAAAAGUUAGUCAAAGUCAUUUUUAGUCAAAUCGUCGGUCAACCGCAAGUUAGCGGACAUUUUGAGGGCCUAACACCUUCUCGGAAUGUACAUUGAACUCGAACCCUUUUUCAAUUGAUUUUAUCUGUUUGAGUAUUUUGAAAAUCUUAAGUUUUUUCUUGAGUUUUACUAAAAAAAUUAAGUGGCGACUCUAUUCUUUUGGAAAUCGAUUUCUCUUAAACUACAAGUUUAAUCGAUUUUUUCGAAAUCCUAGUCAUUUUUCUUUUAUAUAUAUUUUCGAGUAAAACACCUAACUGUAUAUAUAAUAAUGUAAGGUUUGUAUAUUGUUUAAUUCAUACUAUUGUAUAUAACUUACAAAAUAUACAAAUAUAUAUAUAUAAUACAAUUAUGAUUUAAGCAAAAAAUAUACAUAUACUUCAAGCAAUUUUGUAUAUAACUAACAAAAUAUACAAAUAUCUAAAUACAAUUGUGAUUUAAGCAGAAAAUAUACAUAUAUUUCAAACAAUUUUGUAUAUAACUAACAAAAUAUACAAAUAUCUACAUACAAUUGUGUUUUAAGCAAAUAUUUGAUGUUCUUGAUCUAAUGAAGGAGACACAACCUCCUCAGAAUCACUAUCUUUGGCUUUCCUCGUACUUCCUCCUUCAACAACUUUAAUGUCGCUUGCCUUAACAUUGUUGAUGACUUCUGGGAGUGCAAUUGGGUCAUUUUUUUUCUUGGAUCUCAAUUCUUCAAUAGAUUUUUCCUGUAGAAUUUGUUUAGAUUUUUCCAUAGACCCUGCAUUGACUCCAAAAUCUUGAGUUAAACCGAGUGAAAAUGAAGGUUGAUUAUUAAAAACUUUGACAUGCAAUGACGUACCUCUCGCAAUCCUCUUAGAUGGAGUCGAAUCAUCCAUUUUAUUUUUUGUAAAAAUGAUAUAUAAUAAGUAAUGAGGGAAUUUUGAGAAAAAAUUAUCCAAACACUAACAUGCACAAUACAUAUACAAUUGAAAAAUGAAAAAGAAAAAAAGAAAAGAGGUUCACCUACGAUUUAUGCGGUUACCUGCAAAAAGUAAAACACGAUUGGAGGGAGAAAGUGAAAUUCGAAUUUCAAAUUGAUUUUAGGAGAAAAACAGGAAAUGAGGAGAGGAGAGGAGAGGAGAGGAGAGGAGAGAUAAAUUUAAUUUUGUAUAAAAUCAUAUACAAAGACCGAUGAAGGCUUUGUUGAUUCGGUAUACAAAGUGGUGGUGGGUCUCAUUAUUAAUGGCGAAAAAACUGAAAUUGUAUUUACUAACAGUAAAUAAAUUAAAUUAUACCCUCAAUGACUAAUAGCCUAGUAAUAUUUGCCAACUCACUUAAUUUUUCCAUAAUGUGUGAGACUUUUUGAAAGAAAAAAAAAUUGUGCUAACUUGGUUAAAGUGAACAAUUAUCAUACUCUAUUUAGAAUAUCUUUGGGCUAAUUUAUCCGAACAAAAACAAAUAAGUCCCCAAUCUAAGACCAUUAGCCGUUACUUGAAGACAAGACAUUCAUCAUUUGAACUAUUGAAUUAUGGACACAAGUCAAAGAAUCUUCCAACUAUUCAAGAAGUGUAAUUAAUACUUAAUAAAUAUAAUGUCAUCCUCAAUAACUUCAAAUAAUAUCCAAUAAUCAAUAUUAAAUUUUGAUAUUAAUAGAAAUAGUUAAUGAACCCCAAGUUGUAUAAUUUGAUUGUUGGGAUAAAAGAUAAAAGUCAAUCAAAAAUUUAAUUUUUUUAAGAAAUAAUCUUUUAAUUGUGAUUCAAUAAUGUAAUAACACAAGCAAUUACAAUACAUAUAAAUUUGCCAUGUCAGCAUAUGGUGUUCAUGAGUGCGUGUAUGACAAUAGUAAAAGUAUCUAUUUGGUCUUUUAGAUAAAUUUCAGUAUCUAAAUUACAAUUUUUGUCAAAUUUGAGGGAUUAUCUAGAUAUUUAGAUAAAAUUAUUUAUAUAUAAUUAUCUCUAAAUAGGCUCAUAAGCCAGUAAAUGAUACUUUAUAAAUAACUUCAGUUGUAAGUGUUUCUCUUACAAAUUCAAAUUAAUCCAAUGACAAAACCUUUUUAUGAUUUGACUGAAGAGGUUUCUGUGUUGCUGGUAUAUCAAGAUGAGGAAUUGGUUUCUAGUAAAUCAAAUGGUUGAUUUACUAGAGUUCAAUGGAUACAAAGGUGAUAUAUCUAGAACUAAUUUCUAUAUGACUUUCAUUAUAUAGAGAGAGAAUUAAUUGAUACGAUGUUUAUUUAGAACUUUUCCUUUCCUUGUUAUCAUAACAUUAUUUCUAUGCUUGUGUAUGUUGUGUUACAAGUUAAUAAAUGAAUUUGUAUGAUUAUAAGGAAUUAAAUUAGAUUCUUCAUUUUUGUUUUUGUUGUAACCAUGUCACUGACUCGAUUAGCUUUCUCCAUAAGGAUUGUGUAAUUUUUCAAAGAGGUUCAAUAAUUUUAUGUUAAAGUAUGUGUUGUUCUAAUUUUAUCGGAUAUUUUUCCAUAAAGGAGAUAGUUUAAGUUUAUGUUAAUAUUAAUUAUUUCACACUUGACUUUUUUGUACAAAAAAUAAAAAGGAAACUUAUUCUUUGUCAAUCGGGCCUAGAGUGACAUCGUGUUGGAGGAGAAAAUAAUUAGGACCCUCAUAAAUAAUUUUGAAAUCAUAGAUCUUUGAUUUUUACAAAUCUAUAUAUUGUUUUAGAAAGAAAACACAUUCACUUGGAUGAUUGAGGCACAAAAUAAGAGUAAGAGAUUGAAGAGAAGAGCGAGAUAAAGACAUGAUAAGAGAUGAUUUGGCUAUCAUUAUUGUCUGAGAUGACUUUUUUUUGUCUUUUAUUCAAUGUAGACAAACAAAUAAAUAGGGACAUGUGAUUUUCAUGAUUUUUUUCUUCUAUUUUUUUUUUUUGUCUUUUAUUAGAUGUAGACAAGAAAAGAAAUUUUUUUCAUGUGACUUUUCCUCAUUUAUUUUUGUUUCAUUUUCAAUUACUUUGUUAGUAUUUAAUAUCGAUUGUUCCUUAUUCAAGCUAUGUUAAAUAUUUUUAACAUAAUUUUUUUGGUAACUCCUUUCUAAUAAUUUGUUAAAUCUUCUAAACUCUCGUUACUUAUUUAUGAAAUAAAAUUACCUUAAAACUUUUUACAUAAAUUUAUCUUAAAACUUUUUAUCCUAUUAUAUCUUGCUUUAAUAGUAUUUAAUCUAUAUAUAUAUUCAGUGUUUAUUUGUUUUCAACAAGUCAAAGAAUAAAUUAGAAUAUAUUCUUUAGAAUUAUAUUCCUAUAGAAUCUUCUCUAUUAUAUAUUCCUACAGUUAUUUACUGUAAAGUAAUAUUAUAUAUUAGUAAGAUUGCACACACCGUUUACGAUAUAAGUUGAUUAAUAUGUGUUAUUUCAUAAAUUAAAGUAUAGCAACAUAAUAUGAAAUUUCAUAAUUGAAUUUGAAUGAGAAAUUAAAUAAACAUAUCCAAAUGAUAAUUUUGUGUAUAAUAUUUUUUUCAUGUUCUUCACUAACUUUAAAGUGUAUGGAUAUAUACAGUUACGACAGCUACAACUCCUGCAGCAAUGUCAAUGCUCUCCAAAGAAAAGAAAAAAAUUGACAUGAUGAUAAUCGAUGUCAAUUCAUCAGAUUUACAUUGUUUUGAACUCUUGACACAAGCUGUAACCUUAAAUAUAAUCUCUCUUGGUAAGUAUUUAUAAUUCUAUUUUUCACUUCUUGUUAUAAAUAUUGGGUAAAAUCAGUUGUUUCAAUUAAUACACCACAAAAAUAUAAUUAGCUAUAAAAUUUAUCGUUAAUCUAUUGUCAAGAGACGACAUCUAUCCAUUGGUAAUCUUGUUUUUAGUUAUAGUUAUAUGAUAAAUGAUUGUUUCGUAACAAAGUUGUUGUCGUAACAGAUAAAAUUCAGUAAAUAUAUGUGUGAAAUUAACUAUUCUCAUAAUGUAUGAUAUAUUUUUAUUUUUAUUUUUAACUUCUCAAUAUAAUUAUGUAGUUGUAUGUGAUGAACUCAAUAGACUCUUAGCCAAGAACGCUUUGGAAAAUGGAGCUUAUUUUGCUUGAAAAAGCCAUUCAACAAGGAAAUUGUGAAAUACUUAUGGCAACUUGUAUUGAGAGAAAAAAUACAAAGGGAGAAAUCGAAAAAAGGUUUAGAAGCAAAUGGACGAAAUCAUAUGAAUGCUGAUGAAAUUUAUGAUAGUAAUAUUGUAAGAGAUGAACAAUUUGGAGAGAAGAAUAUGCAUGUUGAUACUGAGGAACAUAACAAUAAUAUCCAUAAGGCUGAAAAUGAUGGCGUAUCAACUGGUAAAUACAAGUUGAAGAGGAAGAGAGGGAGAAAAGGUAUAAAACAGAUUAAUGAAGGAGAAAGUCGUAGCAGUACUGUUAUUAAUAAGACUGGUACACGUAAAUGACUUGUAUCAUGCAUUUUAAACAUACAUAAAUGACAAUGAAUUUGAGAUAAUAAUUAUAUCCAUAGUCCAACUCUCCUUUGAGUUUUUCUUUCUUUCAGAAAUGUCGUGAAAACAAUUGGAGACCUCGAAAAGAGAGAAAGAAUAUUCAUCACGGAUCCUCAAGUGAUUCUCAACAAAGAAGUAGUUGUAACACAUCAUUAGAAAGAAAAAAAAGGAGCUGCAAAAAACUUGGAAAAAUGCCUCAUCUUCAAACAAAUAUACCAAAUCAAAUACAAAGAGUCUCAGAGUUCCCACCAGUUAAUACCAACAACAUUUUUGCUAUUUCAACUCAGCAGCAACUCCAUCACCCACAACUUCAGGCUCAACCUCACUGCCUAAACCCAUCUUUGUCAGCCCAAAAUGAUGUUGGUGGUCAACUACAACAACACAGUCUGUUAUUUGGAAUGCGGGUCCAAUUAUUGGAAGCACUCAAAAUGGUUAUGGCUUGGAUCUCAAUCCUACCCAUGUAACAACAUAUUCAGGUAGCACAAUGAUAACUAAUACAAAUGUUGGAAAUGUGACACUUAAUGGAUUGGGAGCUACAAAUGCUAAUUUUCAGCAAGAUAUUGGUGAACAAAACAUGUUUGAUCCAAGUUCUUGCUCUCGUAAUAUUUGUAUCUUAACUUAUCGAAUGCAUUUAUGUAUCUUCCUGUAUUGCAAAAGCUAUAAUUGGGAAAAUAUUUUCAUCUUUUGAUGAGAAAUUUCUUAACCUUUACUCAUUUCUUCGUUUCCUUAUUAUGUAUUGAAUGUUUAAGAUUGUAGUAUAUUAUUACAUACUUAAAUCUUGUUUAUGAAAUUUUUUAAUGAUUAAUGUUUGGAUUAUAAAUCUCUUGUUUUGCUUAUGUAUUGAAUGAUUUUUAUUUUUAAUGAAGUGAGUCAAAUUGUUUCUUUAAUUAUUCUUGUGUUUUAAUAUUUCUAAAAGGAGCGACUAAUCCUAGGACUUGCUCAGUUACUUUGAUUUGAGCUCGAGAGAGUGAAAAAAGAAUAAGAAGAGAGAUUGGAAAAGAUUAAUUAACAAAAAUUGUGGUACUAAUUUGGGUAUUAAUAAACAAAUCCUUACUUGAUCGCAUAUGUGUUGUUCUGUGUGAAAUUUGCCUCUGACUUAUAGUUGACUAAAUUAUAUUGCAUAUGUUCGUGUACAUUUUCUCACUUGGAAGAGUGGAUUUGGAUGUUAUUAACCAUCACCAUCGUUUAGGUAGAAAAAGAAAAUAACUAAUAGUUUAAUGUUUUAAUACAUAAAUGAUCAACUAAUAUGAGACGGAAAGAGUAGCGUAAAUGUAAGAUUCACUUCUCACCAAGAAUCCUCCUUUCUUAUUAUUUUCCUUUUAGAGGUUAAUAAUUAUUAUGUAUCCCUAGAAUAAUUUAUUGAAAUAGUAGAUUUGAAAGAAAGCAAUUAUUCUCUUCUUCCUAUGCGGGACUUUUAGAACAAAACUAAUUUGACAAAAACCACAAUUUAUUGAUUUUUAGGUGGAAUUAUAUCAAUAAGGAACUAUGCUUAUAAUAUUAAUCUAAGAUCAUUAGGGGUCGUUUGGUAGAGUGUAUGAGGUAAAAUAAUGCAUGCAUUAGGUGUGUGUAUUAGUAAUACCUUGUUUGGUACACUUUUUCAUGUCAUGUAUAACUAAUGCAAGCAUUAGUUAUACACUAUAUUGUGUAUUACUAAUACCAAGAAAUCCUAGAUAUUAGUAAUACAUAGCGUUUUAAUACUUGCAUUAGAUUAUACAAUUACAAAACUACCCUCAAAGCCUUUUAAAAAAACAUCUUCAUUUUCCAUGGUACUGUGUUUAGAAACCUUUCAUCUUCUAUGUGGCUGCUAACACUACAAGAAAAGUGUGAAUUACAUGAGGAUUUUCCUGGGGAUUAGUAUGAAAAUCCGUAGGAAACUUAUUUUUCUGCAAAUUUUCAUACUAAUCCCCAGGGAAAUCCCCAUGUAAUUCACAUUUUUCUUGUAGUGUAAACCUUUAAAAAAAAACAUCUCCGUUAUUUAUAAAUUUGAUUGUUGUAAUACUUUUUUGUAUUUCAAUUGCACUAAAAAAUAGGAUCUGUGGCUGCUAAAGCAUAUGCCCAGACUCCUAAUAUAUAUAAAGUGCAUAUACUGAUUUUAAUAGGGUACCGCUUUGCAGUUAGGAAUUAUCUCAGGUCUAUGCUGCCUGUAUCUCCCUUACAUUCCAUCAGUUUUUAUUUUUUAUUUUUGGACUCGUUUUAUCUCAAAAUAUAUAUAAAGCACUACUAAUGCAUGCAUUACUAACACACCCUAUUUUACAUUAUUCUUAUACACUCUGCCAAACGAUCCCUAUUGUUACUUGAACACAUGGAUUCAUCAUCUGAACAAUUGAAACAAUUAAUACUUGUGUGAACCUCUUGUUAUUUCGAGUGAUGUGUCAGAAUCUUUAGCCAACUAAGACUAGCGUUAAAUUUUUGGCAAGUCUCAAGAAGUGUAAUUAAUACUUAAUAAAAUAAUCUCAUCCUUGAGAUUCAAGAACUUGUUUGGUCUGAAUAGGUUUUAAUCAUUAAGAUCUAGAACAAAGUCUUAAUAUUAGUAAGAGGUAUUUUUGUGUGAAUAGUUUUCUUUGAGGUUCGAGAAAUGGAAUAGAUAUGGACUACAAGUUGAUAUUCGCCAUUAGGAAAUUCACACGAAAAGGAACGAGGAAUUCUCAAUGAAAAAAGCGCUCUCUAAAUCUGUUUAGUAUUUGCCAUGAGGUUCUUACCAUAAUUGAAUUUUCCUUUUAGGAAAAGGUAAACACAGUCUCCAUAUUUGUCUAGUUCUUUUUCUUGUACGAAAAAAAUUAUGACUCUAUAAAUAGAUGUUUAUUCAUUCUAGCUUGGUAGCAUUCAUAAUGUAGUCUUAGGGGGCUUUGAGAGUUUUGUGUAUUGUGUGAAGCUAGGGGAAGAAUGUGUGAGACACAAGUAUUACUUUAACACUUGUGUGAACCUCUUUGUAUUCCGAGUGAAUUGUGUGAGGUCAUUCUUCUCUAGAUUUUGAACUUUCUUUUAUAUAGUGAUUUUUUCAUCUCCUCUUGUGGAUGUAGACCGGUUGACCGAACCACGAUAAAUGUUUGUGUCUUUUUGUAUAUUUCUCGUUUGUCUUAUUACUCAUCGUCUUUCGAGGUUUGCUUUGCUAACUUUUGCAUGACACCUAAUUAUUUCAGUCCCAACAAGUGAUAUCAGAGUCAAGUUCAAUGGUUUAAUGAUCCAAUGGUUGAACCAGGUCAAAAAUAAGUGUUCAUCUUGACGGGUUUAGUUCUACCAUAACAUAUUUGAUAGUAAUGAAGAUUUUUGUUGGAGAAAUAUUUUCAAAGAUGUUUUUUGUGUUGAGAUAUAUAUAUAUAUAUAGAGAGAGAGAGAGAGAGAGAGAGAGAGAGAGAGAGAGAGAGAGGGAGAUAUUUUGCAGAGGAGAUGCAUAGUUAUUGAAGAUUAUGUGAAGAAGGUGGAACAAAUUUAUUUUGUCAGAAAUUUAGGCCAAUGGAGAUAUUUGUUUAGUAUUUGUCAUGAGUUUCUUACCAUAAUUGAGUUUUUUUCUUUUAGAAAAAGGAAAACACAAAGUUUCCAUAUUUGGCUAGUUCUUUUUCUUGUAGGAAAAUGUUUAUGACUCUAAAAUUAUAUGUGUAUUCCUUCUAGCCUAAUAGCAUUCACAAUGUAGUCCUAGGGGGCUUAGAGAGUUUUGUGUAUUGCGUGUAGCUAGGGGAGAAUGUGUGAGACACAAGUGUUACUUUAACACUUCCGUAAACCUCUUUGUUUUUACAUUGAAUUGUGUGGGGUUAUUCCUCUCUAUAUUUUGUACUUUCUUUUAUAUAGUGAAUUGCUCAUAUCCUCUUUUGGAUGUAGGUCGGUUGUUCAAACGACGUUAAAUAUUUGUGUCUUUUGGUAUAUUUUUUGUUUGUUUUAUUACUCACAGUCUUUCAAAGUUUGCUUUGCUAGCUUUUGCAUGAUACCUAAUUAUUUCAGUCCCAACAAAACCAAACGUGAAAGUUGUUUUCCAGCAGGCAACUUUUCUAGUAGCUCUACUCUCGACUUGGAUAAUAUAUCCAAAAAGGUACGCUUUCGGUCAUUCCACAUGCUGCCUAUGUAGAGACAUGUUUAUCUAAAGUGGAUUCUCUUUUUUGCAGUAGGUAUUGAACCUGUUAUGCCCAUUGACUAAGAAGCUAGGGGUGGACACAACAACUACAUGGACCUCUUCCUUUCAUUGGCCAUCACCAUUAGUCGUCUUUGUUAUCACAAUGACCACCACCAUUACCGUCAUCAAAUAUCUCUGUCAUCACAAUUACCAUUCUUAUCAACCACUACUAUAUAUCAAGCAUUUGCUAUAUUUAUGUUUUUUAUCGACAUAAACAAUGGGUUAACAUGAUAUAAUUUAUUAGUAGUUUUAUAUAUUUUUCCCAUAAUAAAGGAAACAAUCACUUAUACAUUCUUUGAGAUCAUUUAGUGUAAAAUCAGGAGUGGAAUCAUAACUAGGGUUAUAGCUUAGGAUCAAUUCACCUUCUUAAUUAAUGGGAUAAUUUACUUAGCUAAAUUUGAGUGAAAAGAAGAAGAAAUUAAUUAAUUUAAUUCGUUUACGUUCCAAUGGGGUGUGCAAUACCCAUAAAUUUGUCAUGUCGUUAUUAGGUGUUCAUGAGAUGCAUAUAUUUCAAGCAAAAGUGUCUAUCUGAUUACUAGACAAGUUUAGCCGUCCAAUUUACAAAUUCUGCCAAAUUUGAGGGACUAUCUAGAUAUUAUUAAGAAAAUCUAUCUUAUUUAAUAUAAUAUUUAAAAUAGAUAACUUUGUAAUUAGUGUUCGCUAGAUCUUCAUAUUUUCUCCAACCAUUAUAAAUUCUCAGUGCUCUCUCUAUAUAAAUUCAUCAGGAUAAAAAUAAACAAGACAAGAUAUCAUACAUAAAAAAUAUCCAAAAGAGUUUUCUUUAAAUAUGUGUAAUCUUUUUUAAAUAGCAUAUCCCUUAAGAAGCUAUGUAGUUUUAUCACAAUGUCCUUCUUUAAUUGUUUUUCUUUAAUUAAUAAAAAGGUGUGUUAUAUAUAUCUUCAAUUGAUGAUAAGCCCACUUAUAUACAAAUAAAGUAAUGCAAGUGAAACUCUGUAAAGAAUCCUAUGAAGGUUCUAGCAGAGAAAUUAUAUUUAAAAAGGAGGGUAAUAGCUAAUGUGAAACAAUUAGGGUUGUAAAAUAAAAAAUAAAUCAAAAUAAUAAUAAUUAGGGUUGCAAAGCAACACCCUCUAUUAUUGAAGUUGAAGUUGUAAUUCGUAGGAUUAUUAUAUAAUUGUAAUAAUGCCUAGCUUUUUGUAACAAGAAGAGAAGUGUAUCAUCAUUUGGAGAGUUGUUAGAACAAUUAUAGUUAACAUUUGAGUUAAAGUACUAAAAUUAAUCUCUUAAAUUAUAAAGGUGUAAUUUGAAAUCAUUCGUUGAAGUUAGUAUAGAUUGAUUGAUAAGGAGUUGUUUAUAGUCUUUUGAGCAAAGAUAUUUUCAUUGUAAGCCCUUUCUUACUUAAUUAGCACUCCUUCGUUACUUUUUACUUAGUAGGACAUACGAAUUGAGGUUAGCUUAUCGCAAUCUAGUAUAUACAUUCAAUUAUUAGAAAAUAAAAUAAUAAUAAUAAAAUUAUUAUUAAAUUUAAGUUUUACUGUCUGGAUUUAUCAUGACACAUAUAAUGUCCACUUGGGCAAAUUUAUUAUUUAAAACACAAUAAUAAUAAUAUAUUCAAUGUAAUUUCAUAAUUGACAUUUGAGAAGAAAAAAUAUAUAUGCUAACCCUUGAUUAAAAAAUUAAAAUUAACCAACCAAAACUAAAAUAAAUAUUUAUAUAAGGUUGUGUAGUGAGAACAAUUAGAUAUACUGGUUUUAAUUCAACUAUGCAUUAAAAAGAACAAUAAGUUGCUGUGGUGUAGUGGUUAUCACGUUAGUCUUACACACUAAAGGUCCCCAGUUCGAUCCUGGGCAGCAACAUAUAUGUAAAAAGUUUUACUUUUUUUUUGAUAUGUCGACGAAAACGUGUUUAUCCUUUUAUUUGUCGGCGGCAUGUCGACGAAAACGUGUUUCUCCUCUUUAUUGUUUUCACCAUGACCUCUUCACUACUAUAUUUACAUUACAUGCUUGUUCUAUCGGAAACAACUCUACCUUCACAAGGUAGGGUAAGACUGCAUAAACGUCACCCUCCCCAUAGUACGUAAAAAGAAUAUGAGACAGCUGCAGGAUCAUGGAAAGAUCAAAUUUUCUCUUUAUUUCAUUAUUGCAAUUACUCCAUGUCAAAAUCCAAAUACAUUCUAUAGGCAUUUCUAUCUGAAGAGUAAUAGCCCUCCACAAGAGUAUCCACUUGGAAACCGAGUUUCUUGUAUAGCUGCAUAGCUGCAGUCCUUGUAGGAUCUACAUGAAGCGAUAUCCGAUGAACGUUUCUUGUUCUGCAUUUCUGCACUGCUGCCUCCAGUAAUUUUUCUCCAUGGCCUUGUCCCCUGUAGUUCUCUUUCACUGAUGUAUUCCACAGGAACGAUGCAUCAGUAAACAAAACGAAAAAUUUUAAAUGACAAAAGAUAAGGAAUAUUGUAAAUGAAUCUCUUAACCCCUCGUUUUUCAACUUGUGUUGAUUCGCUCAGGCCAGAGAACAACAAGAGAGAGACAGGCAUAAACAUCACGAUGAAAAACUCAUAACCACAUAGAGAACGAAAGCAAUUCUUUUGAAAAAUAAACAUCACAUGAAAGAUGGUUCUCUCUUCUAUGUAAUGACGGACAAUGCUUCACUGACUUAUCGGGAAUAUUUACUAAUAAUAUCAAUUCACCUUCUGCCUUUCCCUAUUGCGAUUCAAUAUGAUGACGAUCAGAGAAAGAUAUAACUAAACUCUCCUGCAAAAUUCCUUUAAAACAACUGCUAGCUAUUUCAAGGUUCGUUGUUUCCGCAAUAGUAACAUAUCAGCUUUGCUCGGAGGGGAAAACUACAUAACACCACUCUAAUUUAGAAAUGCUGCACUUUCAUCCAAUCCAGCUACAGAGAAAAACGUUGAAAGAGCAGAAGCAAUUUCUCCUACCUCUCUAUUCAUAGAGAUCAAAACUUGUUCGGCAAAUGCAUUCAUGCAUAUUCUUCUUUAAAAGACAACUUUUUGUAGAUGAACUGCUCCCAAAUAAGUAUUUUUAUCUUUUGAAUGCUCAAGUUAUAGUCACAUUCACACUCUUGACUGCUCUUUUUCCUACGAAAACAUUAUCAAAGAGUCACAUUUGAGUUCCUCACGAUUAUAACCUCGUAUAUUAAAUCAAAUUGGUCCUAGUCACAUUCGGAAAUAGUCUCUCUACUUUCACAACUAGGGAUAAGACCGCGUACAGACUAACCUCUCCAAACCCCACUUGUCUACGCGGUCCUAGUCACACUCACAUUGGGAAAUUGUCUCUCUACUUUCACAGGUAGGGAUAAGACUGCGUACACACUACCCUCUCCAGACCCCACUUGUCUACACAGUCCUAGUCACACUCACAUUGGGAAAUAGUCUCUCUACUUUCACAGGUAGGGAUAAGACUGCGUACACACUACCCUCUCCAGACCUUACUUGUCUACGCAGUCCUAAUCACACUCACAUUGGGAAAUAGUCUCUCUACUUUCACAGGUAGGGAUGGAUAAGACUGCCUACACACUAUCCUCUCUCCAAACCCGACUUAUCUACACAGAGUAUGUUGUUGUUCCAAUAAACAAUAUUAGAUAUCAGCUUAGACUUCAAUCCAAGAAUACAACUACAAUAAUCAGAAUAAAUUCAAGAAUAAGACCAAUUAUUAAAAGGAAAAUCAAAGCAAAACAGAAAAUUAUGAAAAGGGUAUUUUUUGUUCAGACCUGCUAAUUUAGUGAUACAAGCAGAGAGUGAAGAAGGCCAAGAAUACAUAACAUAACCAGCAAUAUCUUCACCUAAUUGAGUGUAGAGUAACCCAGAAUUCUUCUUUUUCAGUUCCUCAUCAAAAGAUCGAGCUAAAGAUUCAUGUUUGGGGAAAAUCUUCUUCUCUAUUCUCACUAUAUCGUCAACUACCUUAACCCAAUUUGCUGAAUUUCUCUGCAAUUCAACUAUCUCUGCCAUUUCUUCGUUUUCAUAUUUCUCUGUUUUUGCUGCUGUAUUUAGGUUAACAAGAAUCUACUGGGGUCAUUAUUGGAAAGAAAAAUAGUUCCUCUGUUAUUUUAAAAGUUUUUACUUUAUUUUUUUUAACUAUAAAGUUCUUAUAUAUUUUUAACGUUUUAAUUAUUAGAAACUAUUAUGUACAUUGUUUUUAUUUUACAUGGUUUAUUAAUAUAUAUAGUAUAAAUUUGCAUUCAUGUAUUAAUUAACUUAUCAAUUAAUCAAUAGUAAAAAUUCUCUCUGAUUUUCUGAUUAUUUAUGGCCAGUUUUUUUUUGUAUGUGUGCGUCUCUAAGCUCGUAAGUGAAAGUAAAUCAAUUUUUUAAUUGUUAAUUUAUGCCCAACUUCUUUAUGUAUGUGUGCGUUUCUAAGCUCGUAAGUGAAAGUAAAUCGAGUCUCACGAUAUCAUCUGUCUUUGUCAUACUCGUCUGGUUGAACAAGGACUAAUACUAGUUGUUGAGCAAAAUUAAUUUAUAAAUACUCUUAACAAGGUGUGAUAUUAUUUGUUUUGGGUAAAGUCUUUGUAAGGCUUCACACUAUUAAGAGAUUCUACACUUUAUAUGUAAUUUUUCAAUCUUUUCAGCUAUCAAUGUGGGAUUUUAUUUACCCAACUAACAAUUUUGUUAUUUGUUCUUACAUUUUGGUGUUAGCUUUGGCCUUUGUGUACUCCAUCAUAGGUUGAGGAAAGGGAUCAUAUAUAAUUGGAAAAAUACAAAUCAGAAUGGUAUUUUUGUUAGUAAUCCAAGGGAUUGGUUUACUUUUGGACAUGUUAUUUUUUUGGUUCUACUUAAGGUUAGUAAGGUCAUUUCAAUAUUAUUUUCUUCCUACUUCAAUCAACAGCAACUUCUAUUUUUCCUUAUAUGACAACGCAAUUCAAUCUAGCUACGUUGUUAUGUUAACCAACCCCAAAAACAGGACACCAUAUCUAGAUUGAUAAGCUUAAGUAAGUUUCGAUAUGACUCAUUUAUACUUCAAUUAAUCUAAAGUAAAACUUAUCCAUAUGUAUGAUCCAGCCAAAUUAUUUUAUCAAUAUAAUCGAAAUAUUAAAAACAUAUUUAGUAAUUAUGGAUAUCAUAGGUAUAGAUAUGUAUAUAUAUUAUACUAAAAUAUACAAAACCUAUACAAUUAUGACUAUUUGUAAAUUAGAUUAAUCAAAGACAUUGAACUGUAAUUAUUCCAAUCUAUACUUUAAACCCUUUUCACUUCAAAGCACUAUCCCAAUUCUAAACAGUUUGAGACAUGGUAAAAAAAAAUAAUUGAUUUUUUUUUUUUUAAGAUGGGGUGUAGUUAGGUGGAAUUUUCUUGGUUUUGUUCAAAUAAGUCUGCCUUUUGAAGCAUAGGCAUACUUGUUUCAUCUUUAUAUAUAUAUAUAUAAUAAUGAUGUUCUGGAUAACUUUUACACCUUAACUUGAUUAAUUAUGUGAGAUAUCUGUCAUUUUUCAUAGCAAUAUUAUAUUUAACUAUAUUCGCCCAAACUAAAACAGGUAGAAAUAACAUUUGAAUCUGUCAAACUGCAAUAAUGAAUUAUAUAUGGUGGAAGAUUCUUUGGGGCCCAACUGGCCCCACAGCUAAUAUUUUAACGGACGUCCAUGAAAAGUUUUAACAAAAUCACGUCGAAAUUCUAGAUCACCAAAAAUUCAUGGACUAUAUAGCACACGAUAAUCAGCAAAAUGGGGGGGGGGGUUACUUGCUCAAGGGCUCGUCUGACCUUGAAAAUGGGCUGGUUUGCCCGUGGGGACCAAUUGGCUCUAUAACUAAGGUCUUAACGGACGUCCAUGAAAAGUUAUUGCAAAAAAUCACGUUGGAGUUCCAUAUCACCAAAAAUCCAUGGACUAUAGCACAUGAAAAUUGGCAAAAUAAAGGGUUUACCUACUCUGGGCUCGUUUGACCUUGAAAAUGGGUUGGUUUGCCCGUGGGAACCAGCCGGCUCCAUAGCUAAGGUUUUAACGGAAAACCAUGAAAUUUUUUGGCAAAAGUCACGUCGGAAUUGCGGAUCACCAAAAAUCCAUGGACUAUAGUACACGAAAAUCGGCAAAAUGGGGGGGUUUACCUACUCUGGGGAUUGUUUGACCUUGAAAAUUUCCCGAUUUGCCCGUGUGGACCAACUGGCACCACAGCUAAGGUUUUAAUGGACGACCAUGAAAUUUUUUGGCAAAAGUCACGUCGGAAUUGCGGAUCACCAAAAGUUCAUGGACUAUAGUACACGAAAAUUGACAAAAUAGGGGGUUUACCUACUCUGGGGAUCGUUUGACCUUGAAAAUUGUCCGGUUUGCCCGUGUGGACCAACUGGCUCUAUAGCUAAGGUCUUAACGGACGUAUACAGAAAAUUUUGGCAAAAAUCACGUCAAAAUUUCGGAUCACCAAAAAUGCAUGGUCUAUAACACACGAAAAUCGGUAAAAUGAGGGUUUACCUGCUCUGGGGAUCAUUUGACCUUGAAAAUGGGUCGGUUUACUCGUGGGGACCAACUGGCUCUAUGCUAAGGUCUUAACGGACGUCUAUGAAAUUUUUUAGCAAAAAUCACGUCGAAAUUUCGGAUCACCAAAAUCCUAUGGACUAUAGCACACAAAAAUCGGCAAAAUAGGGGGUUUACCUGCUCUAGGCUCGUUUGACCUUGAAAAUGGGCCGAUUUUCCCGUGGGGACCAACUGGCUCCAUAGCUAAGGACUUCACGGACGUCCUUGACAAAUUUUGGCAAAAAUCACGUCGGAAUUCCGUAUCACCAAAAAUUUACGGACCAUAGCACACGAAAAUAGGCAAAAUGGGGGGUUUACCUGCUCUGGGCUCAUUUGACCUUGAAAAUGGGCCGGUUUGCUCGUGGGGACCAACUGGCUGCAUAGCUAAGGUCUUAACGGAUGUCCAUGAAAAUUUUUGGUAAAAAUCACGUAGGAAUUCCGGAUCACAAAAAAUCCAUGGAUUAUAGCACAUGAAAAUCGGCAAAAUGGGGGGUUUUACCUGCUCUGGGGUUCAUUUAACCUUGAAAAUGGGCCAAUUUUCCCGUGGGGACCAACUGGCUCUAUAGGUAAGGCUUAAUGGACGUCCAUGAAUUUUUUUUGUAAAAAUCAUGUCAAAAUUCUGUAUCUCCAAAAAUCCAUGGACUAUAGCACACAAAAAUCAGCAAAAUGGGCGGUUUACCUGCUCUGGGAAUCGUUUGAACUUGAAAAUGGGCCGGUUUACCCAUGGGGAUCAACUGUCUUCAUAGCUAAGGUCUUAACGGACGUCUUUAAAAAUUUUGGCAAAAUUACGUCGAAAUUCCAGAUCAUCAAAAAUCCAUGGAUUAUAGCACAAGAAAAUGGGUAAAAUGGGUUGGUUUGCCCGUGGGGACCAACUGGCUCCAUAGCUAAGGUCUUAACGGACGUCCAUGAAAUUUUUUAGAAAAAAUCAUGUCGAAAUUCUGGAUCACCAAAAAUUGAUGGACUAGCACACAAAAAUUGGCAAAAUGGGGGGUUUACCUACUCUGGGGAUCGUUUGACCUUGUAACUGGGCCAAUUUUCCUGUGGGACCAACUGGCUCCAUAACUAAGGUCUUAACGGACGUCCAUGGAAAUUUUUGGAAAAAAUCACAUCAGAAUUCCGGAUCACCAAAAAUUCAUGGAUUAUAGCUCACGAAAAUUGGCAAAAUGGGGGGUUUACCUGCUCUUGGGCUCAUUUGACGUUGAAAAUGAGCCGGUUUGCUCGUGGGGACCAACUGGCUCCAUAGCUAAGGUCUUAACGGACGUCCAUAAAUUUUUUUGGCAAAAAUCACGUCGGAAUUCCGGAUCACAUUCAUGACUAUUUGUAAAUUAGAUUGAUCAAAGACAUUGAACUGUAAUUAUUCCAAUCUAUUCUUUAAACCUUUUUCACUUCAAAGUACUAUCCCAAUUCUAAACAGGUUGAGACCUAGUAAAAAAAAUGAUUUUUUUUAAAGAUGGGGUGUAGUUAGGUGGAAUUUUCUUGGUUUUGUUCAAAUAAGUCUGCCUUUUGAAGCAUCGGCUAUUCUUGUUUCAUCUUUAUUUUAUUUUUCAUAAUAAUGGUGUUCUGGAUAACUUUCACACCUUGACUUGAUUAAUUAUGUGAGAUAUUUAUCUGAUCAUUUUUCAUCAGCAAUAUUUAACUAUAUUCGCCUAAACUAAAACAGGUAGAAAUAACAUUUGAAUCUGUCAAACUUCAAUAAUGAAUUAUAUAUGGUAGAAGAUUCUUUGGGGCCAUUAUGCAAUGAUAGUGGAACAUGAGAAUAUUUUUAUGAUUGGUAAAAAUAUCAUGGGAAUGGCGAAAAACUAGCUUUGAUAAGAAGAAUAUGAUGCUUUAUAACAUUAUCAAGGGAACAAAAGUCAUUUUUAUAUAUUUGAAGAAAAGAAAGUUUUCACAUUACAAUAAUUGGGAUGCCUAUAAAUGUGUGGUUCAAAAUGAUAGUGACAAGCCACAUAUUAUAUUGAAGCAUUAAUUAAUCAUAGUAAAGAAAGUUCAAUGUUAUUAUUAGGGGCAAUUUGUGCAAAGUAGAUAUGACCUAAGUUGCUUGAACGCAAAGGUAAUGUUAUAAUGUUUGUGAAAAAUUGAUAGAUCAUUAAAUCAUUAAACCUAUUACCUAUAUAAGAUUUAGUGCUAAUUACAAUCAUUUCUAUGUAGUGUAAGUGAUGUUGGAUUAGGUGGAUAUCAACUUAUCAAAGUGGACACCAAAUUUUUUAAAUUGCUUUCUCUAGUGUUACACUAACUUUAAUAAGUGGAAAUCCUUAGACAAUUGUUGAAGAUAUCUAUCAUAUUUGAUCAAAUAAAACAUAAGUUAUCAAUCAUAGAAUCAGAUAUAUACCUUUAAAUUCACGGGAGCGUUUGACUAUGUUUCAUUGUGAAAUUUGAUUUUUCUUUUCAAGUAAAAAAAGAUAAAUUGAAAUUAGAUAUUGUUAUCAACUUGUAUACCACUAGUUCGAAAGGCAUAAUUUCUUAAACUGACAUUCAAACUUAGCCUCCACUUACAAGUAAUUACUUCAACUUUUUCAUUAUGUAUGCAUAUUUAGACACCUUAUAAACUCGACUCAUUUCCACUAUACCAGCUAAACUCUCCAACAUAUGUACAAAAUAAUCAUCUAGUCACCUUCAAAAUUUAUUCAUUACAUCAGCAUCGAAUGUAAUGAGAUACAGAGACGAGUUGAGUAUUUAGUAGACCGUUGAAACCAAGUUGAGGUGUCCAUACCUAUACAACAAUUAUCACAGGUGACAUGCUUUCAAAUAAUUUUGAAGUAUUAAAAAUAGAUGAUUUAUUAAAAUAAGAUAUUUCUCACCAUAAGCAAUUUUCAAUUCUUUCGCAUCAAACGCACCCAUAUUUAGAAUGUUCUAUACUAUCACUCUCCAUAGACGGCAGCCAUCAUGUCAAUCACCACCCACCAGCACUUGCUGUUGUUAACCUUGCCAAAUAGAUAAUGACAAGUUGGCAUAUGAGAUAGGUGGUCUACGCCUAUCAACAUGAGUUGUGGUGCAAUGGUGGAAUUGCUCAAUCCUUAAUUAGAAAUUUCAGGUUUGAGUCUUGGGUAUGAAGAAAAUUCUAUUGGAAGCGUCACUCUCAAAUGAGUCCUGUGCUGUACAAUUCAGAUUUAAUUAAGGCUUUAAUGCAGACUCCGAACAGUGAGCGUGAGAAAAAAAGAGAGGUGGCCUAUGCCUAUUUCUCUUUGAGAUGUUGAUGCCUUGAUUUUGAAUGUCUUGUUUUUCAAUCCUCGUGCUUAUAUCUUUGAAUAUUCAUUACUUUCUCUAGAUGUGAAAACUACUCUUUCCGUUUCAAUUUGAAUAUUCAGAUUAUAAAGAAUAUUUUUUUUAUAUUUUACGUAACUUUAAUCGAAUACCAUAUAAUUUAAAAGUUCGUUUUACUUUUUUAAAUCAAAAUCAAAUAAAUAAAUUAAAACGAAAGGAGUGAUGGCUGAGAUGUCCUGUAAAAUGGUAUUGGUCUCUUUAGUGGGAUUUUGUUAUUUUGAUUUUAAAUUGACACAAGAAGCUAAACAAGCUUUGUCUUCUUAAUGAUUGGAUUUGAUUCAUCUUUUCAAUUUCAAUUGAGUCUGUCUCAAAAUUCAUAAUGUUAACUAUAUAAAUCCAGGUGAUCAUAUAUUACAUUGAUCUAAGAUGUAUAUUCAUAUCAUAUAUCGCGUUACUAAAUAUAAUUACAUUGUAUGAACACGCGAAGAAGAUGAUCAGAACAAGAGAAGACAUGUUACUAAACAACAACAUAAGAAAAAACAAAUUCUGUUAAGUGAUUGAUCCGCGUGUGAUAGUUGUCUUCUUAACCUUGGACUAUUGCUUCCUGCUAGAUUAUAUGAACUUGAAUAUGUAUACAAAUUAGUAUUCAAUGAGUUCCCAAACAUUCGCGCAUAAAAAAUUUCCCCUGUUGUCGUUCCACCAGGACUUAGCAUAUGUUCUGUAUUUGUAUAAUUUCGAUGAUGAUCAUGAGAUUGUUGGUAUAAUGGAGGCAUAUUAUUAUUGGGUAUUACUCCGUGACUCCUACAUCUCGGAGUAGGAGGUCUUUGUGGUAUGACUAUACCAAGAUUCAGGGCCUUGCCUGCUGUUUUUGUAGCUUGACCGCGACCAUAGAGUGGAAUCAAUGUUUUUUGUGAGACUUCAGCUUUGCAAACAGGGCAUUUUGGCUGUUGAUUAUCGAUGUUCUCUGAUGAAAUGGUCUUAAUAUGUAUCCAUUUGUAGAUGCAAGGCCAACAAUAGAGGUGACCACAUAAUGUAACAACAGGAUCAUGUACAACAUCCAGGCAAAUGUUGCACUCGAAACCUCCAGGUGAAUUUUCUUCAAGUUUAUCAAGAUCAAUUGUCUUACAUUUUUCAAAGGAAAUAUCGCGUUGAUCAAAAAUAGUUUCUGGUAUUUGGUCUUGAAAAAUUUGUUCUAAGGCCAUAUUUGCUUCUUGGUAUUGAUUUAUUUUGGUAAUGGCAAGAUGAAUGGUUAGAAUUCAGGUUUUUAAUACAAUUAGAAGUGAGUAUUUAUAAGGACAAGAAUAGUAGUUUGCAAACAAUGAUUCUUAAGGUUGUCACUUGUCAACAUCACAUCAUGUUAAAGGGGCAUGGCCAAAAAGAAAAGGCCCUACACAUUAUUAAACAACACUAUAUCAUAUUACUCAACUCAGUUUUGAUUUAUGGGUACUGUUUGAUUUGAUAUAACAUUUAAUAAGAAAAUGAAAACUUUUAAAAUAUGUACUGUAUUAAAGAUAAAAAAUAAAUUUUAAAUUUUUAGAUCCUAGAAAUGAUAUUCUUUUUAUAUUAAGACUACAACAAAUGUCUUACAUAAAUUAAGACAGGUGAACUAUCAAACACAUCAUAAUUAAGUGAUUUAAUGAAGUCAAAAAUAAAUAUUAAUGGAUCAUGGUUAAGUGAGAGGAGUUUUGUGCAAACACGUCUUUUAUCUAUCUAUUUGAUUUAAACAAGCAUAAGUUUUAUCAUAUUAGAAAUAUGAUUAGGACCUUAUAUUAGGCCCCAUGAUAAGAAUCUUAAUCUAGAAAAUAACUUUUAGUCAAUAAAAAGUAGCACUAGUUGCGUACAAGGAGCUACCACUUGAUGACCUUCCACACAGCCACAUCCCAUAAGUUCAAUAGUUUUCACACUAUAAGAACUAGAUGUUUUUUUCCGAGUGAAUCAAUAAAAAUUUUAUGUUAUAAAACAUGAUUUUUUUCAUUUUGAUUUUAUUAAACUAAUUCACUAAGAAAACCCAUAACGAAACAUAAGUUCUCAUUGAAAUACUGGAAAUAGUCACUUGGAAAUUUAUGAGUUUUAGGAAAUUAUGCAUCAAAACUUAGAAAGACGCGGCUCAUAUAGAAAUUUGUUGUUAAAUCAUAAUAUAUACUUUUACAUCUGAAUAUCUUUAUUGAUUUGGUUAAAAUUAUAAUUAAAAAAAUUACAAUACAAUAUAUAUAGAUUCACAUAAAUUUAAUACUGUAAGUUCAAUUAUUAUUAUGAUAUAUUAAUCUAAAAUUAUUAUAGAAGCUUCUAAACUCUAAAUUCAGAUCCAACUAAGGAGUGAAUAUACAUAGUGGGGGUCUGGGGGAUGGGAGAAAACAUAUGGACGGUGUGACAAAUAAAUAAAAGAAAUACUCCGUCCAUUCCAUUUGACUUAGUAUUGUUUGACUUAAUACGAUGUAUAAGAGAAAAAAAAGAUUUUAGAAAAUUAUAGGCUAAAACAAUUUUUAUAUAUUUAUAUAAUUGUAAAUCAUUUCAUUAAUUAAGGGUAGAUGGAGAAUUUUAAGUUUAAUUAUUUUCAAUUACAAUAAAAUGACAUUUUUAAAGACGGAUUAUGAGAAUAGAGUGCCACGUAAUAUAAAACGAGAAAAUACUACUCCCUCCUUCCCAUUUUAUAUGUUACCUUUUUACUUUACAUUUACAUUAAGAAAUAAUGUAACUUUACCCUUCUACCCUUAUUUAAUGUUUUCUUAAGUUAACUUUAUAACUCCCUCCGUCCCAUUUUAUAUGUCAUCUCUUUCUAUAAAUAGUUGGACCACAAUACUUGUCAUUUUAUAAAAUUUAUGUAUAAAUUACCAUAUUUUACCUAUUAUAUCCUUGAUAGAGUAGUUAAUUAAUCUUGAAAAUAUAUUCAUCAUUUAUUAUAAAUUGACUUAAGAAAAUAUUAAAUAAGAAUAGAAAGAUAAAAUUACAUCAUUCUUCAACAAGUGGUAUCAGAGCCAGGUUAAUAAGAGCGAGGUAGUAACUCAAAAGAGAUCCUACAAGCUACCGUCGGAGGCUACAAAUCGCGAGGCACUAAUUAAUGAUGGAUUUUGCAAGCACUCUCAAUAGCGUUGAGANNNNNNNNNNNNNNNNNNNNNNNNNNNNNNNNNNNNNNNNNNNNNNNNNNNNNNNNNNNNNNNNNNNNNNNNNNNNNNNNNNNNNNNNNNNNNNNNNNNNNNNNNNNNNNNNNNNNNNNNNNNNNNNNNNNNNNNNNNNNNNNNNNNNNNNNNNNNNNNNNNNNNNNNNNNNNNNNNNNNNNNNNNNNNNNNNNNNNNNNNNNNNNNNNNNNNNNNNNNNNNNNNNNNNNNNNNNNNNNNNNNNNNNNNNNNNNNNNNNNNNNNNNNNNNNNNNNNNNNNNNNNNNNNNNNNNNNNNNNNNNNNNNNNNNNNNNNNNNNNNNNNNNNNNNNNNNNNNNNNNNNNNNNNNNNNNNNNNNNNNNNNNNNNNNNNNNNNNNNNNNNNNNNNNNNNNNNNNNNNNNNNNNNNNNNNNNNNNNNNNNNNNNNNNNNNNNNNNNNNNNNNNNNNNNNNNNNNNNNNNNNNNNNNNNNNNNNNNNNNNNNNNNNNNNNNNNNNNNNNNNNNNNNNNNNNNNNNNNNNNNNNNNNNNNNNNNNNNNNNNNNNNNNNNNNNNNNNNNNNNNNNNNNNNNNNNNNNNNNNNNNNNNNNNNNNNNNNNNNNNNNNNNNNNNNNNNNNNNNNNNNNNNNNNNNNNNNNNNNNNNNNNNNNNNNNNNNNNNNNNNNNNNNNNNNNNNNNNNNNNNNNNNNNNNNNNNNNNNNNNNNNNNNNNNNNNNNNNNNNNNNNNNNNNNNNNNNNNNNNNNNNNNNNNNNNNNNNNNNNNNNNNNNNNNNNNNNNNNNNNNNNNNNNNNNNNNNNNNNNNNNNNNNNNNNNNNNNNNNNNNNNNNNNNNNNNNNNNNNNNNNNNNNNNNNNNNNNNNNNNNNNNNNNNNNNNNNNNNNNNNNNNNNNNNNNNNNNNNNNNNNNNNNNNNNNNNNNNNNNNNNNNNNNNNNNNNNNNNNNNNNNNNNNNNNNNNNNNNNNNNNNNNNNNNNNNNNNNNNNNNNNNNNNNNNNNNNNNNNNNNNNNNNNNNNNNNNNNNNNNNNNNNNNNNNNNNNNNNNNNNNNNNNNNNNNNNNNNNNNNNNNNNNNNNNNNNNNNNNNNNNNNNNNNNNNNNNNNNNNNNNNNNNNNNNNNNNNNNNNNNNNNNNNNNNNNNNNNNNNNNNNNNNNNNNNNNNNNNNNNNNNNNNNNNNNNNNNNNNNNNNNNNNNNNNNNNNNNNNNNNNNNNNNNNNNNNNNNNNNNNNNNNNNNNNNNNNNNNNNNNNNNNNNNNNNNNNNNNNNNNNNNNNNNNNNNNNNNNNNNNNNNNNNNNNNNNNNNNNNNNNNNNNNNNNNNNNNNNNNNNNNNNNNNNNNNNNNNNNNNNNNNNNNNNNNNNNNNNNNNNNNNNNNNNNNNNNNNNNNNNNNNNNNNNNNNNNNNNNNNNNNNNNNNNNNNNNNNNNNNNNNNNNNNNNNNNNNNNNNNNNNNNNNNNNNNNNNNNNNNNNNNNNNNNNNNNNNNNNNNNNNNNNNNNNNNAAGCUUGAGAUAAGAGGAGACGUUAUAUGUGCUGGAUGUCAAUAUGGGAAAGCACAUCAACUUCCCUAUGGAGAAUCAAAGUAUCAAGCGNNNNNNNNNNNNNNNNNNNNNNNNNNNNNNNNNNNNNNNNNNNNNNNNNNNNNNNNNNNNNNNNNNNNNNNNGACCAGUGAAGCAGUCCUCCAUCAGCGGUUACCGUUACAUGGUAACAUUCAGUGAUGACUUCUCAAGGUACGUAUGGAUUUACUUCAUAAAAGAGAAAUUUGAAGUAUUUGAGAAGUUUAAAGAGUUUCAAUAUACUGUGGAGAAUGAUAUUGGAAGAAAAAUCAAAUGUCUCCGUACGGACAAUGGGGGAGAAUACACGUCACGAGAGUUCAAUGAAUAUCUUAAAGAGAAGUUGAUAAGACGACAACUAACUUGUCCAAAUACACCACAACAAAAUGGAGUGGCUGAAAGAAAAAAUAGACAUCUGGCGGAGAUAUGCAGAAGUAUGUUGCAUAGUAUGAAUGUACCAGCAAGGUUUUGGGCAGAAUGCAUGAAGACUGUUGUCCACAUCAUCAACAGGCUGCCGCAGGCAAGAUUGAGAUUUAUCUCACCAUUUGAGAAACUUAAAAAAAUAGAUUCCUACUGUAAGCCACUUUCGAGUUUUUGGUUGUGUGUGCUAUGUGUUCGUGCCAGAUCAUCUCCGCAACAAGUUUGAUAAGAAAGCUGUUCGUUGCAUCUUUGUUGGAUACGAUGAACAAAGAAAAGGAUGGAAGUGUUGUGACCCUACCACAAAUCGGACAUAUGUGUCAAGAAAUGUGGUAUUUGAUGAAGCAUCAUCUUGGUGGUCCAAAGAAGUCUCCCUGCCAGACUCAAUAGCUCUUGAGCAAAAGCUGCAAGAUAAGCUCAAUGAAGUAGAACAAGGGAACAAGAUAGACUCUAACCAGGAGGUAUCUCCACAAAAGGAAAAGAAAAGCUUACCACAAACUGGAGCUUGUGAAACACCAGAUGAGUUGCAAGAAGAAGUCCAAGAAGAGUCACAAUCGCAACUGAGGAGGUCUACACGACUGAAGCGUCCAAACAUCAAGUACAUAGAUGCAGCAUUAACCGAGGUGGUUAACAUCAAAGAGGCUGCUACCUUUGAAGAAGCUUCAAAGAGUAGGGAUCGGAAUAAUCCGACGAAGGUGGAGAUCCCCAAAGGGUAUGGACGUUAUGAUGCUUGCAAAGUUUCAGGAAUCGCUCACAAAAGACGCAAAGAAAAAAUUAAGUUGGUGUUGAGGGGGAGUGUUAAGAAUUCAUCACCAACUUAAUUCUUUACUUAAGAUAAAUCAAGAAAAAUCUAGAAUAUUCCGGAGGUGUAGAGAAUUGAAGGAAGAUCUCUAGAAUGAGUAUUCUAGAAAGAAUAGUCUAGAAAUGUUCUAGAAAGAAUAGUUCUAGAAAAAGAUAGUUAGGAAUAUUCUAGAAUAGAGUAGUAUGUAUCUCUCUAGAUUCUUCCAUCACCACCUAUAAAUAGAGGUGGUCCAUUUGAGUUGUAAGCAACCAAGCAAGAAACCAAGCAAGAAAUAAGAGAGCAAACAAGAGUGAGUGCUUAAGUCAAAUAGUGUUGCUGAAGCAAGCAACAAGUGUGAUCAAGAUUGUAAGACCGAAGCGGGUCCUUACUUUGAUAUAAUAAAAUUCAAGUUGUGAGAAAUCGAUUGUGCCCGUCGUCUCCAAAACAAUAAUAUUCAACACUCAUCCCCAAUUCUAGAGACUAAGUUUCUCAUCUUCAUUCUUAUCUCUAUCCUUACUUGUUAUUUCAAUAUUUCCAUUGUAAUUAGAUAGUUUGAUUAUUCCAAUUAGAAUAUUAAAGUUGUAAUAGUGUUCCAGUGCUCUUAUUAAUAGUGUGAGAAUUUUGGUUUGUUACAUCAGACGUUCUCUUUUCGAAUAAUUGAACGUCUCAUAUUAUUUGCUAAUGAAAAAUAUCAUGAGUAGGACCCAAAAAGAUAGUAGUACCAGAUAACAAACAAAAAAAUACUGUACAGUCUAAAAAUAAGUAUAGAAUAGCUUGAACUUUUGGGCCGUUGUAUAAAACACCCAGAAAGGGAGACAGGGGAGUCACUGGUCCACUUAAUUAUUACAUGUAGUAAAAUUAUUAGUUAUGUACUAGCAAUACUGGAAGUAUUAUUUCAUGGCAUAUAUUGGUGACUAAGAUAAGUGAUAAGCAUAAUAAAUAAUUUAGAAGUAGGUGGAUUCGAGUCAUCAACGAGCUCCCGGGGAGGAAUGAAAAAACUCUUAAUAAUAACUACAACAUGGAGUGGCCACUGCUAGCAUAGGUGAUAUCCUACGAAUAAUGAUGCCACUGCCUUCCGUCAUAUCCAAAUCCUCCGGUUUUAACACUUCUGGUAAUGCUAAAUUGAACUUGUGCACAAUCCUUGCUAAUGCUAGCUCAAUUACCACAAUAGCAAAACCAGUUCCUGGGCAGCCCCUUCUCCUAAAAUUGUCAACUUUUUAUAUUUUGGCUUACUUGGAAGCAAGUCUAUCCUCUCCUAUCCAAUCAAUUAGGGUGGCCAUUAAUCAGAUAUUAUUAGGCUAAAGAUAACAUAUUGCUCCCUCCGUUUUUAAUUAUUUAUCCAUUUUUUUAGUUAUUCCUAAUUACUUGUCUAUUUUGACAAAUCAAGAAAGAAUAAUUUUUUUUACCUAUUAUACCGUCAAUUUAUUACUUUGAAAAAAGUAGAACUUUUUGAAAAUCUUGAGUUUUUAAUUCAUCCACUUCAUAAUUAAUAUGGGUAAAAUGGUAAACUCACUAUUUCAAUAAUUGUUUUCUUAAUAAGUGUGCCAAUUUAAAAAUGGAUAAGUAAUUAGGGAUAGAGAAAGUAUAUCGAAAUAAUAUAAUCAGAUAUUAUGCUAAAGAUGAUUAACAAAACUUUGAACAAUUAUAAAUAAGAUAGCAAAAAAAUCGAUUAGAUAAUACUUAGCAAAUUAACACGGUUCAACGAUUAGUGAUGGAAUCUGAAUAUGAUUCGGGAUUUUCACUAUUAAUGAAAUUCAAAAGGCAUAAUACAUAAAUGUGCCCUUUAACUUGACUUCAUUUUAUGUUUAUGUCGUUCAAUUUUGGGUAUGCACAUAAACUUGUAUAAAGUUGAACAACUAGCCACAUGAGUUCUACACGACACAAUACAUUUAAGACACCACGUAGGAUAAAAAAUGACAUGUAGGAUACCAUAUAGGACAUGUGUGUCUGUUUCUUCAACUUUAUACAAAUUUAAAUGUCUACUUGUGCACACCCGAAGUUGAAGGGCAUAAAUGUGAUUUGAAGCCAAGUUAAAUGGUAUAUUUAUGUAUUAUGCCUAUUCAAAAUAUGAAUAAGUAAACAUACAAAUUAGCUGACUACAAUAAUACAAAGAUAAAAAAACAAUUUUAAUUAUAUGUAUAAAUAGUAUAAUUUUCCAUCAAAGGUGGUUCAUUUGAUUCCUCACUUCUUUCCCUCAUUUAAAACUAUGCAAUAUGAGACUUUCAUGUCACAUGGAAUCCUUCUCUUUUUUUUUUUUGGAAAUCUUAAUAGCUCAGUUAACUAACUGACUAUUUGAAUUCUCGAUUCCCCAUACUGUAAUCCUCUACCCCAAUUUUUUUCAUUACCUUCCUCACAUAUGUAUAAGACCGAAUCCAAAGAACUAAGAUGAGAGAAUUUUGGGAGAGCCGCCACUCCAACUACUGCCAUGUAUUAUCCAUACUAGAUCUGACCAUCUGUCCAUCCUACCCUCCUCUACGUUCUUGACAACCCAUUUUUGUCUUAGUCAAGUCUUUUAGUGGCACAUUUUGACCUUCUUUUCCAUUACUUAGAAAAAGUGAGCUAUUAUUCAGAUACAAAAUACUAUCAUUAUCGCCUAGAAAAUUAGACAUUCAACCCGUAAUCACAAUGAUCCAAUUACAAAAGCUCUGAACCCCCUAGGUCUAGACUGGCUCUGGCCCCUGGUUUUAUCACUUGACCUUCACAUGAGUAAACUCGUUGAUAUAGAGGAUUACAGUAUCGAUUUCUUUAAAAGAAAAAAACCUUAAUUUAUAAAAGUUCAAAAGAUUUUAAUUCAAUGUUUGUAAGUAAAAAAACAUAUUUCAUAAAACGGUUGCAAAUCACAUCGAAUAAGUUCCAUUGAUUGGUGUAUGGUUCUCAUAAGGGAAGUAACAGCAGCAUAAGCCAUAUAUCCAAAAAAUAGGACUAUCUCUCACUCUCAGUAUGAAAAUGGACAAAUUAAUUGCCACAAGUUAUGAAAAUGGCUAGUCCUCAGAACACCUUAACUACUUGCUGCAGAAUAAAAAAAAGACGCAAAAAAUGGAAAAUAAUAUGUUAGAUGUCCCAUAAUUAAGGAACAAGAGAACAUUAUAGUAAGAAUGAGCAUGCAGGUAUAAGAACUUACUCAUUAUUGCGGCAAGAAGCAACUUCUUUCUCAAAGUCAUCAUCAUCAUCAUCUUCAUCUGUUGUUACAGUAUCAAAUACCAAUUUCUCGAGCUGAUAUAAGUAGCGAAAAUCAUACAGGUCCUUGUGAUUGCGAAAGUCCUCUGGGACGCCAAAUACUUUCAACUUCUUUAAAUUGGGAAAUAGUCUAAAAAAAGACCCUGUACAAUACCAAGGAUUCAAUUGAUUGAGGCAUUGCAAACUUUUCAAAACCAAUCUGUUCUCUGUAGGCUCAUGACUCUGCAAGUAAUUCCAGCCCAUACACAGCUUCCUCAAUUGUGGCAUUGUCAAAAUUUCCGAUGGUAAUAUGAAAGGAUAAGCACAAUCACGAAACGGAAAGUUAAACUUAAAAGUUUGUAGAUAGCAUAGGCUUGAUAUCGAUAGAGGAAUGUCUAUUAUUGAUGAGGGAACAGCUUUUAACGAUCCUCGAUACUGCUUUAAGCAAGGAUAAAAACACAAAGAUAGGUAUCUCAAAUGAAUUAGAGAAAGUACUCCACUGGGAAAAAUUGGGUAUAUAUUCAAACCAAGAUCUAGUACUCUUACUAGCUUGAAAGACAAUUCCAGUGUGAAGCAUUUCAAUCCACCCAACAUGAUAAUAGAAUGAGCCUCACUGUUACGACACCAAGCCAAUUCUUCCUUCUUAUAGAUACUGAUCCGACUUCGACUCUUAAAGGAACACUGCAUGGAUUGUGCACAUGAAUUUUGAUCACUCUUUCCUCUGAUAACAUUCACAAAAUUCAUGUUUCGAGCUUCCCUCAAACAGAGUUCACGGAUCACAUCAUGCAUUCCACAUCUCUCUAUUUCCCCAUCAAAACUCAAAUUGUGGAUAGAAAUUAGACUUCUAUCUACAAGUUCGUUUAUACAUGUUUCUGCCACCUCUUCUAUGCUUUUUCCUUCUUCUUCAUUCAAAAACCCCUCUACGGCCCAUAACUCAACAAGUGCAUUUACAUAAAUCCGUUCAUCCUCUGCGAAAAUUGCAAAAUACAGAAAACACGGUUUUAGGUGAGAAGGCAAGUGAUGGUAACUCAAAGCCAACACUCUCAUGCAUUUUGCUUCAAGAUCUCUGCUUACCACCGAACUUACAUUCUCCGCAACAUUUUGCCACUCAUCCAAUGUUUUACUGAUUUUGGAGAGAAGUCCAGCAAUCAAAGUAAUUUCUAGAGGUAACCCUCCACAUUUUAAUGCAAUUUGUUUCCCAAUAUUUUCAAAUUCAGGAGAAUAAGAACCUUCUUUUUCAAAGAUCUUUUUGUGUAGUAAAUUCCAACUUUCGUCAAAAUUCAUGAGGCGCAUNNNNNNNNNNNNNNNNNNNNNNNNNNNNNNNNNNNNNNNNNNNNNNNNNNNNNNNNNNNNNNNNNNNNNNNNNNNNNNNNNNNNNNNNNNNNNNNNNNNNNNNNNNNNNNNNNNNNNNNNNNNNNNNNNNNNNNNNNNNNNNNNNNNNNNNNNNNNNNNNNNNNNNNNNNNNNNNNNNNNNNNNNNNNNNNNNNNNNNNNNNNNNNNNNNNNNNNNNNNNNNNNNNNNNNNNNNNNNNNNNNNNNNNNNNNNNNNNNNNNNNNNNNNNNNNNNNNNNNNNNNNNNNNNNNNNNNNNNNNNNNNNNNNNNNNNNNNNNNNNNNNNNNCAUGUUCAGGUAAACUGACAAGUGAGCUAGUUUGUGGUUUUAGAUCUUUCAUGCUGUCCGAUGCUGCCAUCCACUGUUUCACGGUGGAAUCAAUGUAUUCUAGUGCUUGUUCCAAGACGAAAAAAAUCUCCCACAUAGCCCUGCUUCUUUCCUCCAAAUUCUGUGCUAAAAAAACAUUUCUUGAUUCCGAGUCAACCAUAUCUUCUGUUGUGUAUGCUACCUCUGCGAUUUCAACUUCCAAGAUUGUUAACCCCUCAUGAUCGCCCAUUAUAUUGCAGGAUUUCUCCAGAAUAGCUCUCAAAGAUUUGAGCUUUUCAUAAAACGGUUGCAAAUCACAUCCAGUAAGUUCCAUUGAUUGAUGUAUGGUUCUCAUAAGGGAAGUAACAGCAGCAUAAGCCAUAUAUCCAAAAAAUAGAAAUAUCUCUCAGUAUGAAAAUGGACAAAUUGCCACAAGUUAUGUAAUUUUUCAGUUUUUAAGAAAACAGAAAAUGCAAAGUUCUUUCUUUUACUAGCUAUUUCCAUCACAUUUCCAGCUAGGUCCACCAACCUUAUCAUCAUGUAGACAAAAGCAGAGACCAAAGUUAAAAAAAAGUAGAAAAAUUUGUGAUCAUUCAUUAUUAGACCGUACACAUAUCUAUUCAUGAAUAUAAGUAUGCUUCUUACAUACAAGAGAUUGAUGAUUUUAAUUACAUUGAAAGCAACUUAGUAGAAUUUUCCAAAUCAAAGAGAGAAAUAUUAAGAUCCAAGUAGGAAUUUCUCUAUUCCUAGUUCGAUUCAAUUAACCAAGCAUAAAUAUCUCUUAAUAUACAUGAGAAGUUUAGACUCUAAAAGUCAAAUCAACAAAAUAUUUAUGGGCUAACACAUGAAAAACUAUUGAGAAAAUCGCCUAAUUUCUGUAAAUUGGCCCUUAAAUCUCCAAAAUGAACUCUAAAAAUUGUCAGACUGUACGUAUUGCUCCCCAACUCCCUACUGAGGGUUCUGUAAAGAUUUCGAUUAGAAUUCGUCCGUAAGUCAUAUCACCAAUAUAUUAAUGACUAACACACACGAAAAACUGAGAAAAUUGUCUAAUUUCUUGAAAUUGGCCCCUAAAUGCCUAAAAUGGACUCUAAAAGUUGUGAGACUGUACGUACUGCUCCCCCGACUCCCUACAGAGGGUUUCGUAAAUGUGUAGCAAAGAAAUCGUCUGGAAGUCAUAUCACUAUAAUAUUAAUGGGCUAACACACACAAACCACUGAGAAAGUCGCGUAUUCCUGUAAAUUGGCCCCUAAAUGCCCAAAAUGAACUCUAAAAUUGUGAGACUAUGUACUGCUCCACUAACUCCCUAUGGAGGGUUCCGUAAAGAUUUCACAAAGAAAUUAUUCGGAAGACAUAUCACCAAAAUAUUUAUGGGCUAAUACAUUUUUAUUUGUCCAUUUGAUUUGACAUAUCUUUCAAGUACUUUGAUCUGGUUAUACUUUUUUUUUAUUGCUAAAAAUAAAUAUCCACUUUUACUUGUUCAUUCUACAAAACAAAGACAAUAUUUUAUUGCUUGAUUCAGAUAUAAAAUUUGAGUAGGCUAAUUUACAAACCAUCUGUAGUCAUCCUGCCCCUAUGCUAUAACAUUUGAAAGAAAGAGGUCAUCAUCAUCAUAUUCAUCAUCGUUGUCAUCUUCAUCAUCAUCUUCAUCAUCGUUGUCAUCUUCAUCAUCAUCUUCAUCUUCUUCAUCAUUAUCAUCAUCAUCAUCAUGAUCGUCAUCGUCACUUGUUUCCUCACUGUUGAAAAAGCCAGCAACAAAAGAUGAAAAAUGAAAUGUUAUGCAAGUAUAACAAGUUACACAAUUACUAUAUUGGAAGGAUUUAAAUCAUAUACAAUGACAACGUAUGAACUUUUACACUAUAGGUGCCAUUUAACUGCUUAUUAAAGCAAUUUAUAAUUAUUUUAUUACUAGUUCUGGACACGUGCUUUGCAUGUGUAUAUUACACGUUUAGUCACGAUUGUAAGAGGGUGUACACCAGGAUCAUUCGAAGAGCAAAGUCGUGUGAGCCUUACAGAUAUUCUUGACGUACUCCUAUUAAAAUCUGUAUCAUAUUCGUAACUUUUUGAAUGAGGUUCACCUUUUUCCUCAUUGUACUUUGUACAUGGAUGUUGUCCAUCACAAUAUCCCCUUUUUCAAAUUUCAUAGCUGAACUACUAGGUGUACGAGUUCCUACCAGAACUACUACCAACUAUUUAUCAAAACACACAUCAACUAUAUAUGAGUUGUUCCCUUUUACUAGUGGUGACAAAUAGGUGGAUUUGGACGGGACUGAAAAUGGAUUGAGCAACAUGGUCGUAACUCACUUAAUCUCUUAAAGCCAGAAAACUUUAAAGAGUUAAUUGAAAUAAACUUAAUGACUAUCCUACUUGAAGUAUCACCGUCGUUCAGGUAAGAAAAAGGAAGUAUAUCAAGGAAGAAGAUGUCUUACAAAGCCUGAUGGAUAUGGACCUCGAUAGAACCUCCAUAGUUGUCUUGAAUGUCCUGUUGAAUCUGCUUUGCGGAAUUCCCAACAGAUUCUGGGCAGUUUCUUAUAUAGAUUAGAGCAAGUGUGGUUAUAUCUGCAAAAUCUUGAGGGAUUGAGUCCAAAAACCUGCAACUAUCAAGAAAUAGUCGUUCAAGGCACGGAAAGUGAUCACAACUAGCUCUCCAGUACUGAAUAUGUGAUCUUUUAAGUAACAAGAACUUCAAAAAAGGAAACCCUUCCUCAGCUACUUCCCACUCCCUGCCUCUGCAUACACCCUGUGUUAGUUCAAGAAGUUCAAGUUUGGGCAAUUUUCCGACAACAAUGCUUAAAUCCUUCCAUGACAAGAAGAAAUUUCCUGUAAAAGUUAAAUUCUUAAGGUUUCGUGGAAAAGCAUCUGGAGGAGGUAAGAUCAAAGAUGGAACAACUUCUACAACAAGUGGAUUCCUUGUCUGAAAACACAUUCUCCUCUCCAAAAAGUAAGCAUUAUUUUGAGGAGGAAGACAAAAUGCUAGUUCCUCGAGAUGAUCUAAGUAGCGAAAAUCAUAGAGGUCUUUGUGACUAUGGAAGUCUUGUGGGAUGCCACGUACUUGCAACUCCUUUAAAUUGGGAAAUAGUCUAAAGAAAGAUGCAGUACAAUAGCUAGGAUUCCAUCCAAACAGAGAAUGUAAAUUUUUCAUAACCAAACUUUUCUCUGUAAGCUCAUGAUAUCGCAAGUAAUUCCGAUCCAAAUGAAGGUGCCUCAACUGUGGCAUUGUCAAAAUAUCUGAUGGUAAUAUCAAAGCAUGUUUACGAAGAUUAAUGACGAGUGGAAGGUAAAGUACCAAACUUUGCAGAUAGCAUAGGUUUGAUAUGGAUGUAGGAAUGUCUACUCUUGAUGAGAGAACAUCUUCUUCGGAUCCUAGAUAUUGCUCAACGUUAGGAUAAAUACGCAAAGCUAGGUGUCUUAAGUGAAUCAAAUAAAGUAUUUCACGGGGAAAAGUUAGACAGAUAUUAUCAGCAAGAUCUAGAACUCUUACUAGCUUGAACGGCAAGUACUCCCUCAUGCAACAUCGGAAUCUACCAAAUAAGAUAACAGAAUGAGCUUCACUGUUAAGGCACCUAACAUACUCUUUCUUAUUAUGGAUGCUGAUUCGACUUCGACUCUUAGACAAACACUGCAUGGAUUUCACAUAUGAAUUUUGAUCAUUCUUUCUUCUGAGAACAUUCACAAAAUUCAUGUUACGAGCUUCCAUCAAACAGAGUUCACGAGUCAUAUCAUGAAUUCCACAACACUUAAUUUUUCCAUCAAAAGUAGUACUUUUAAUGGAAAUUAAACUUCUAUCAAUAAGAUCUUGUAGGUACUUUUCUGCCACUUCUUCUAUGCUUUUCAUCUCUUCUACCUUCAAAAAUCCCUCUGUUUCCCACAAUAUCAUAAGUUUAUUGACAAAAAUCAGUUUAUCCUCUGGGAAGAUUGCGAAAUAUAAAAAGCAUGGUUUUAGGUGGUGAGGCAAGUAAUGGUAACUCAUUGCCAACACCCUCAUGCAUUGGACACCAACAUCUGUGCUUACUGCUGAACUUACAUUUUCAGCAACACUUUGCCACUCACUCAAUGCUUUGUCAAUUUUAGUGAGAAGUCCCGCGAUCACAACAAUUGCUAGAGGCAAUCCUCCGCAUUUCAAUGCAAUUUGCUUUCCAAGUUGUUCAUAUUCAGGGGAGAAAGAGUCUUUCGUAAAGACUUUUUCAUAUAAUAAAUUCCAACUUUCGUCAAAAUUCAUGAGGCGCAUGUGAUGAGGAAGCUUACCUGAGCUAGCAUAUUCAGCCACUUCCACAUUCCGAGUAGUCAAGAGUAUUCGGCUUCCAUUAUGAAAGUCUGGGAAACAUAUUUGUAUAUCAUCCCAAGCUUUUGUAGUCCAUAUGUCAUCAAUGACUACCAAAUAUCUCUUGCCUUUUAGAAGCUUUUGCAGUCGAUCUGCUAGUUGCCCGUCAUGUAGCUGAUCAUAAGGUUUAUCACUUAUACAAGAAAGAAGGUCUAGGAAAACAUUUCUCACACAAUACUCUUGUGAAACAGUAGCUUUUGCACGUAUGUCAAAGCGAUACAUCAUGCAUGGAUCGUUGUAGAGUUUUGUUGCCAAAGUUGUCUUGCCAAUGCCUCCCAUACCUACAAUUGAUACAACUUCUAGUUCUCUUUCUCCUCUAGCAAGUUGAUCCAGCAUCAUCUUGAAUUCAUUUUCAUAGCCAACCAUUAUAACCUCGGACCGCUCAACAGCAAGUUCAGGUAUCUUGGAUAGACAGAAAUUUUGUGCUUUGAAAUCUUUAAUGUUGUUGUACCAGUCCCAUAUUGCCAACCACUGCAUCAUGAAGGAAUCAAUACAUUCUACCUCUUGUUCCAAGGAACAACAGAGUUCCCAGAAAGCUUUGCUUCGUGUAAUUACAGUUUCUGCAGAAGAAACUUUUCUUGAUUUCGAAUCAACCAUGUCUUCUGCUUUGAAUGCUACCUCCGUGAUUUCAACUUCCAAGGUUGUUAACCCCUCAUGAUCGCCCGUUAUAUUGCAGGAUUUCUCUAGAAUAGCUCUCAAAGAUUCGAGCUUUUCAUAAAACGGUUGCAAAUCACAUCCAUUAAGUUCCAUUGAUUGGUGUAUGGUUCUCAUAAGGGAAGUAACAGCAGCAUAAGCCAUAUAUCCAAAAAAUAGGAAUCUCUCACUCUCAGUAUGAAAAUGGACAAAUUAAUUGCCACAAGUUAUGUAAUCUUUCUUUUACUAACUAUUUCCAUCACAUUUCUAGCUAGGUCCACUAACAGGAUAAAGUAGAAAGAUGUGAGGUCACUAACCUUAUCAUCAUGAAGACAAAAGAAGAGACCAAAGUUAAAAAAAAAAAAAGACGAAAAAGUAGAAAAAAUUGUGAUCAUUCAUUAUUAGACCCUACACUAAUCUCUUCAGAAAAAUAAAAUAAAAUUUUAGUUUAAAUAAAGGAAUUCAAGCUGUAUAUUGAUAACGUCCAAUUCAAAUUCAAGUGUAGUACGGUCUAGCAAUAAUAAACUCAACAAAAGUUGGAGUCGAGGAGUACGCUUGUGUCAAGGUGACAGAGAGUGUGCGAAUUUGCUAACAAACAAAAGGUCUUUCUUUUAGCUAGGUCCAUAAUCCAUGUAGUGCUCUAUACUCUCUAGUCUCUAUCAACCAGCUCAAGUUUAAGGGUGUGUUUGGUAUGGAGGAAACAUUUUCUCUAGAAUAGGGAGAGAUUUGUGCAUAAACAAGGAAGAAUCUCUCAGUAUAACAGUGAAUGGGUAUUUUUUUAAGAUUUGCUUCUUUUGUGUAUGACUUUUGUAAGAAACAUUCUGGUAAAAGUUAAAAAAAAUGAUCUUGUGGAAUAGCCACAGUGAAUUCCUUAAUAUUCGAGUAGAAAAAGCCAGAGAGGAUAACAUUGCUAUUUGUACACUUAUCGUGACACGAGUAGUCUCUUAAAUAUUACACCUUUCUACUGAUGUUGCUGAUGCCACUGGAUUUAGCCUUCCGUCUUCCUUUGCAAGGUAGAUCGAGGACUCCCAAGAAAGGAAACACAAGUUACUGGAGUCUGUUCUGGCCUAUACAGUAUGUAUGUACAUAAAAUUUGGAGUAUCUAAAAACCACUGACAAAUGGCUAUACGAAAGAUCAUAUACAAUUAAAUUACAAGCCAUUUGCAAUCAUCCUGCCCCUUUAUGCAGAAUCUUUUCAAAGAAAAUGAAAACGAACAAAACAAACACUCACACAUUUGGCUUCUGAUUUGACAUUUAUUUCAGAGAACUGGCUAGUCGCUGCAGGAAAAAAAAAGACGCAAAAAAUGGAAAAUAAUAUGUUAGAUGUCCCAUAAUUAAGGAACAAGAGAACAUUAUAGCAAGAAUGAGCAUGCAGGUAUAAGAACUUACACAUUAUUGCGGCAAGAAGCAACUUCUUUCUCAAAGUCAUCAUCAUCAUCUUCAUCUGUUGUUACACUAUCGAAAAUGCUAGCUACAAAAGAUGAAAAAUGAAAUGUUACACUUCCCAAAAUCAAGAAUGAGCAUGCAAGUAUAACAAGUUACACAAUAUUGGAAGGAUUCGAAUCAAUCACAAUGACAGCAUCAAGAACUUUUGUUGAAUUGGUGUAAUUUGACUUACUAAAGCUAUUAUCCAGAUUAUUAUCGAGUUUACUAUAAUGAUGAGUUAAAUAUUGUUGUAAAUCAAGGAAGAAGAUGUCUUACUAAAGAUUACGAGUAUGGACCUCGAUAGAGCUUCCAUAGUUGUCUUGAAUGUCCUGUUGAAUUUGCUUGGCGGAAUUCCCAACAGAUUGUUGACAGUAAUGUAUAUCAAUAAGAGCUAGUGUGGUUAUAUCUGCAAAAUCUCGAGGGAUUGAAUCCAAAUACUCGCAAUUUCUAAGAAAAAGUCGUUCAAGGUACGGAAAGUGAUCACUACUAGCUCUCCAGUACCGAAUGUAUAUUUGAUCCAGAAACAAGAACUUCAAGUGAGGAAACCCUUCCUCAACUACUUCCCACUCCUCGCCUAUGACGGCAUUGUGUGAUAGUUUAAGGACCUCGAGUUUGGGUAAUUUACCAACAAUGCUCAAAUCCUUCCAUGCCAAAAGGAAAUCUCCUCUAAAAGUUAAACUCUGGAAAAGAUUAAUUAACAAAAAUUUAUGGUACUAAUUGGGGUAUUAAUUAACAUAUCCUUACUUGAUCACAUAUGUAUUGUUCUGUGUGAAAUUUUCCUCUGACUGAUAGUUGACUAAAUUAUAUUGCAUACGUUCGUGUACAUUUUCUCACUUGGAAGAGUGGAUUUGGACGUAAUUAACUAUCACCAUCGUUUAGGUAGAAAAAAGAAAAUAACUAAUAGUUGAAUGUUUUAAUACAUAGAUGAUCAACUAAUAUGAGAAGAAAAGAGUAGCGUAAAUGUGAGAUUCACUUCUCACCAAGAAUCCUCCUUUCUUAUUAUUUUCCUUUUAGAGGUUAAUAAUUAUUAAGUAUCCCUAGAAUAAUUUAUUGAAAAAGUAGAUUUGAAAGAAAGCAAUUACUCUCUUCUUCCUAUGCGGGACUUCUUGAACAUAACUAAUUUGACAAAAACCACAAUUUUAUUUAUUUUUAGGUGGAAUUAUAUCAAUAAGGAACUAUAUAUGCUUAUGAUAUUAAUCUAAGACCAUUAUUUGUUACUUGAACACAUGGAUUCAUCAUCUGAACAAUUGAAACAAUUAAUACUUGUGUGAACCUUUUUUUAUUUCGAGUGAUGUGUCAUAAUCAUUAGCCAACUAAGACUAGCGUUAAAUUUUUGGUAAGUCUCAAGAAGUGUAAUUAAUACUUAAUAAAAUAAUCUCAUCCUUGAGAUUCAAGAACUUGUUUGGAUUGAAUAGGUUUUUAUCAUCAAGAUCUAGAACAAAGUCUUAAUAUUAGUAAGAGGUAUUUUUGUGUGAAAAGUUUUCUUUGAGGUUCGAGAAAUGGAAUAGAUAUGGACUACAAGUUGAUAUUUCCCAUUGGAAAAUUCACACAAAAAGGAACAAGGAAUUCUCAAUGAAAAAAGCGCUCUCCAAAUCUGUUUAGUAUUUGUCAUGAGGUUCUUAUCAUAAUUGGAUUUUCCUUUUAGGAAAAGGUAAACACAGUCUCCAUAUUUGUCUAGUUCUUUUUCUUGUAGGAAAAAAAUUAUGACUCUAUAAAUAGAUGUUUUGUAACAUCCGACAAUUUGAAAUAGCUAAGAAGAGGCUUGAAAUUUGGAAAUUUUCAAUUUUUGGAAAGGAUUUGAAAAUCUGGAAAAUUUGGCUAAGUAUGGGAAAGGUGAGUUUUUUUGGGCCCAAACUUUGAACAACCAUAAAUUCUAGCUCAGGAUGAGUUAGGUGGAGUUCCGGUUAUGUUUGCAUAGCCCUCGGAACGACCUUUCCAACGCCACUGAGUUUGCUCAAUUCUGAGUUCGUAUGAGCGAGUUAUGGCCAUUGAAAGUUGGGCAGUUGGCAGGGAAUCCGUCCGGAAAAUUAAGGGCAUUUUAGUCUUUUCCCUAGCCAAUUCUUUUGGGAUUAUAUUGUUGUAUAGGGCUGAUCUUUAGAUCAUUUUGUCCCAUUUUAAGAAAUUAAAAUCUAGGGCUUGAGAGUGAAGAAGAGAAGAAGGAGAAGAAGAAGAGAAAAAUCGAGGAGAUCAACAAGUUUCCGACAAGAUCAUCGUGAAUGUUCGUCGGGGGUGAUCCCUAUCAAGGUAUGUGAGCUUUUAGUGUUGGGUGAUACUUUCCCCCACACACCUAGCCCCUUUUAUUUAUUAAGGAAGGAUUGGUUAUGUUGUUAAAGUUGUUAGUUGUUGUGGUUGAAGUUGUUGGAGUUGUUAAAGUUGUUAGUUGUUGUUGUUGGAAUUAUUGUUGGUGGUGGGACAUAAUUGAGUUGUGUUUUUAUGUUGAAAUCUAUUGAAUGUUGAGGGAUUUUAUGUUUCUAAGUGAUUGGGGGCUGGAAUCUUUGAGGUUAGAGGGUUUAGAGUUGGUAACGUGAAGGAGAAAGUCGGGUAGCUUGCGAGGAGCAUGUCUGCGUCGCGGACUUGUUCCUCUGUGAACAAAAAAUCUUCUCCGCGUCGCGGACAGGACGCAGACUCCACUGUUUUCAGAAUUUAUGUUCGAAGAUUUUCUUAGGUUUGGCUGUCCCAAAUCAUUCGCAAAUCAUUCCUAAACAUCAUGAGACCCUUCCAAACACCAAUCAAGUCCUUGAAUCCAUAAUCCAAUUCAAGGUGAGUUAUGAUCAAGUCAAGUGAAGUUAGUUUUCAAGUCAAGUGAAGUUAGAAGUCAAGUGAAGUUAGAGCCAAGCUUAGAAGUUAAGCAAGUCAAAGCAAGUCUUUAAAGCUUUUCAAGAGUCUUCAUUGAACGUUUUGACUUCAUUCUAAGGCUCAAGUUCCAAGUUAAGUAUAGAGUUUCAAGUCAAGCAAAGAGUCUCAAGUUUCAAGUUAAGUAAAGAGUAUCGAGUUUCAAUUUAAGUCAUAAUUUUUCAGUCAAGAGUCAAGAGUUGAGUUCAAUUCUCAAAAGUAAUUAGGGAACUAAGUAUUUCCCAAAGAAGUUUUAUAAGUGUUUUCACAUUUAAGUUGAGAGGAAACGGAGAUUUCCAAAAGAGUUUUGAGAAGUUUGAGCACUAUCUCUUUUAAAAGAAAAGAUGAGUUUUUGAAAAAGAGUUUCUAAAUUAUGAUUAGUAUGACAAAUGGAGUAUGUCAUCAAUGUUUAAACAGUAUGGUCUCUAGAUAUACCAUCAAUGUUUAAGCAGUAUGAAUAUCCCGAGUCAUCAAUGAUCAUAAAAAAAAAAAAUGUGGUUUUGACUUGUUCUAUUUAGAAAGAGUUUUCAAGUGCCUUCGGGCUAAGUUUUGAGUAAUUAUCUCAACUAAAGAAAGAUGUGCUUAAAACACUUAUGAGCUAAAGUAUUUUGGGAGUAGUAUCGAGCACCGAAUUGGGGAAACGAGUUCAUAUUAAACUCAACUCUCCAUAAGAACCAUGUAGCCAAACAUGGGAUUUCUCGGAUCAUACUUUUUAGAUGAUCACGAAAGUUAAGCUAGUGGAUCCAUUAAGCAAAAGUUAAAGUAAGGUCCUAUAUCGAUGGCAAGGUAUAGGAUGGUCCUUGGGCAACGUGAGGUAAAACGUUGUAUCACCACUCAGAUUCAUAGUGGUGGUUUGUCGGUUAGAGAAGCUCCCACAGUAGAAAGAGCAUGGUUCCUCGAGGGUUCUGCUUAGUAUGGAUGGGGGUAUGGGACUUCAUUCAUGCAUUGCACAAGUAGACUUUGAGAGGAAGCAUGGUAUUUUUAUGAUAUUAUAAAUAUGAUUUUUACGUCAUGUUUUAAUAGUUUCAAAAGCUUUAUAUAUAUUGCAUGUGUCUCAUUGCUUUAUAUUAAGUUCAGUUAUUCUUGAGUUGUACAGAGCCAAGGUAAGUUCUCUUUUGUAUCCCUUUUCAAGCUUAAGUUGUUGUUUAGCGGUCCAGCUCGCAUACUCGUACAUUCCAUGUACUGAUGCCAGUUGGCCUGCAUCUUAUGACGAUGCAGACACNNNNNNNNNNNNNNNNNNNNNNNNNNNNNNNNNNNNNNNNNNNNNNNNNNNNNNNNNNNNNNNNNNNNNNNNNNNNNNNNNNNNNNNNNNNNNNNNNNNNNNNNNNCAGUCAGUUAGUUUUGAGUCUCUCAUCUAUGUAUAUAUGUAAAUAUUCUAUUUUGAGACUCGAGUGGCCUUUUUGGCCAGAUGUGUAUCAUUUAAGUUGUUUAUGUCUUUGCAUGGCAUUGAGUUAUUCUGUUGAGUAGGUUUCCGCUGAGUUAAGAAAGCCAGGCCAAGGGUUCGCUUGGGGCCAGCAAUGGUCUCUGAGUGCCGGUCCCGCCCAGGGUGUAGGCUCGGGGCGUGACAUGUUUAUUCAUUCUAGCUUGGUAGCAUUCAUAAUGCAAUCCUAGGGGGCUUUGAGAGUUUUGUGUAUUGUGUGAAGCUAGAGGAAGAAUGUAUGAGACACAAGUAUUACUUUAACACUUGUGUGAACCUCUUUGUAUUCAGAGUGAAUUGUGUGAGGUUAUUCUUCUCUAGAUUUUAUAGUGAUUUUUUCAUCUCCUCUUGUGGAUGUAGAUCGGUUGACCGAACCACGAUAAAUGUUUGUGUCUUUUGAUAUAUUUCUUGUUUGUCUUAUUACUCAUCGUCUUUCAAGGUUUGCUUUGCUAGCUUUUGCAUGACACCUAAUUAUUUCAGUCCCAACAAGUGACAUCAGAGUCAGGUUCAAUGGUUUAAUGAUUCAAUGGUCGAACCAUGUUAAAAAUAAGUGUUCAUCUUGACGGGUUUAGUUCUAGCCGUAACAUAUUUGACAGUAAUGAAGAUUUUUGUUGGAGAAAUAUUUUCAAAGAUGUUUUCUGUGUUGAUAUAUAUAUAUAUAUAUAUAUAUAUAGAUUUUGCAGAGGAGAUGCAAGGUAUUGAAGAUUAUGUGAAGAAGGUGGAUCAAAUUUAUUUUGUCAGAAAUUUAGGCCAAUGGAGAUAUUUGUUUAGUAUUUGUCAUGAAUUUCUUAUCAUAAUUGGGUUUUUUCUUUUAGAAAAAGGAAACCACAAAGUUUCCAUAUUUGGCUAGUUCUUUUUCUUGUAGGAAAAUGUUUGACUCUAAAAUUAUAUGUGUAUUCCUUCUAGCCUAAUAGCAUUUACAAUGUAGUCCUAAGGGGCAUAGAGAGUUUUGUGUAUUGCGUGUAGCUAGGGGGAGAAUGUGUGAGACACAAGUGUUACUUUAACACUUGUGUAAACCUCUUUGUUUUUCCAUUGAAUUGUGUAAGGUUAUUCCUCUCAAUAUUUUGUACUUUCUUUUAUAUAGUGAAUUGCUCAUAUCCUCUUUUGGAUGUAGGUCGGUUGUCCGAACUACGUUGAAUAUUUAUGUCUUUUGGUAUAUUUUUCGUUUGUAUUAUUACUCAUGGUCUUUCAAAAUUUGCUUUGCUAGCUUUUGCCUGAUACCUAAUAAUUUCAGUCCCAACAAAACCAAACGUGAAAGUUGUUUUCCAGCAGACAACUUUUCUAGUAGCUCUACUCUCGACUUGGAUAAUUUAACCAAAAAGGUACGCUUUCGGCCAUUCUACAUGCUGCCUAUGUAGAGACAUGUUUAUCUAAAGUGGAUUCUCUUUUUUGUAGUAGGUAUCAAACCUGUUAUGCCCAUUGACUAAGAAGCUAGGGGUGGACACAACAACUACAUGGACCUCUUUCUUACAUCGGCCAUCACUAUUAAUCGUCUUUGUUAUCACAAUGACCACCACUAUUACCGUCAUCAAACAUCUCUGUCCUCACAAUUACCAUUAUUAUCAACCACUACUAUAUAUCAAACAUUUGCUAUAUUUAUGUUUUUUAUUGACAUAAACAAUGGGUUAACAUGAUAUAAUUUAUUAGUAGUUUUAUAUAUUUUUCUUAUAAUAAAGGAAACAAUCACUUAUACAUUCUUUGAGAUCAUUUAGUUUAAAAUCAGGAGUGGAAUCAUAACUAGGGUUAUAGCUUAGCAUCAAUUCACCUUCUUAAUUAAUGGGAUAAUUUAAUUAGCUAAAUUUGAAUGAAAAGAAGAAGAAAUUGAUUAAUUUAAUUCGUUUACGUUCCAAUGGGGUGUGCAAUAUCCAUAAAUUUGUCAUGUCGUUAUUAGGUGUUCAUGAGAUGCACAUAUUCCAAGCAAAAGUACCUAUUUGAUCACUAGAUGAGUUUAAGUAUUCAAUUUACAAAUUCUGCCAAAUUUGAGGGACUAUCUAGGUAUUAUUUAGAUAAAAUUAUUUGUAUAGUCCACUCUAAACAUACUUAUAAUUAAGCAAGUAACAUAUACUAUAUAAAGAAGCUUCUAGAGAUAAUUAAAGUUAACUCUAUAUAAUUAGAGUUGCAAUAACAAAUACGUCAAAACAUUAAAGUGUUUCACCAAUAAAGUCAUUUUUUUAAUGUCCAAAACUAAUCCAAUGGAAGCUCUAUUAUGUGGAACACCAGAAGAAGUUUCAGUAUUGUUGGUACAUCAUGAAGUAGAAUUUCUUACUAAUCAGACUGUUAAAUUGUUAGAGGCUUAUAAAUACAAAGGUGACAUUCUAGAAUUUUUUUAACUUUUUUGUUUCUUUGAUAUAAUAACUAAAUGCCGUGUGACAUUUUUUUUUAUAUAUAGAGAGAGAUUGAAAUGAUAUGCUUUUUGUUAUCUCAUUUAUGAUUUUAGCAUCGUCCAUUUUUAAAUUUCAUUUAUCUUGUAAAUCUUGAACUUUUCUUUUUCCUUGUUAUCAUAGCACUUUUUAAUUUUUACAAAUUUAUCUAUCCUCGAAGAAAAAUAAUUCUACAUUAGUGAUGGAUGCACAAGAAAUUAGGAUGACGGGAGGGAAGAGAAAGAGCACGAAAAAGACAUGAUAAGAGAUGAUCUGUCUAUCAUUAUUACUUGAGAUAAUAUUUUUUUGUCUUUUAUUGGAUGUAUAAAAAAAAAUGAGGAGAUCUAAUUUUCAUUAAAAAAACAUUUCCCUUUCUAUUUUUUGUUUUUGUUUUUCGUUGGACGUAGACAAAAAAUUGGCAACUCCUUUCUUAUACUUUGUUAGAUCAUCUAAUUACAUAUCUAUGAAAUAAAAUUACCUCAAAACAUUUUAUCCUAUUAUCUUUUGCUUUAAUAUUUAUUUGUUUUUGACAAGCCAUAAAUAAAUUGGAAUAGUUUUUAGAAAUAUAUUCUUUAGGAUCUUCUCUAGUUUUUAGUAAUCCAAUUAACGAAAAAAAAAAACUAAUAUAUACUUUUUAUGUAACCAAUCUAGUUAAGAUUGCACUCAUCAUUUAUAAUAUAAGUUGAUUAAUAUGUGUUAUUUUAAAAAUUAAAGUGCAGAAAUAUAACAUGAAAAUUCACAGUUGAAUUUGAAUAACAAACAAACAUAUCCAAAUGAUACCUUUGUGUACAAUAUUUUUUUUUUCAUAAUUUUCACUGAUUUCAAAUUGCACGGGUAUAUGUAGUUACGGAAGUUAUGGCUCCUGCGGCAAUGUCAAUGCUUUUCAAAGAAAAGAAAAAAAUUGAUGCAAUGAUAAUCAAGGUCAUUUCACCGGAUUCACAUUGCUUUGAGCUCCUGGCACAAGCUGUAACCUUGAACAUCAUCGUAGUAAGUAAGUAUUUAUAAUUCUAUCUUCCACUUAUUAUUAUAGACGGUAAAGUAAGUUUUUUUAAUUAACUAUUGCAUAAUGUAUAUAAUAUUAUUCAAUUUUAAUUGCUAUCUUCUUGAUAUAAUUAUGCAGUUGUCUAUGAUGAACUCAAUGAAUUCUUAGUGAAGAAAGCUUUGGACAAUGGAGCUUACAUUUGCUCGAAGAAGCCUCUUGUCGAGCAAACUAUGACAUUCUUGUGGCAAUUUGUAUGGAGGGAGAAAACACAAAGAGGGAAAUCAAUAAAAAGAGUAGAAACAAAGGGAGAUCAUAUUUUUGUUUGAAGUUAUUGGAGUUCUGAGAAAACAAUAGGUCGUGGUUUUUUCCUCCCUUGAGCAAAGAGGUUUCCACGUUAACAUAUGUGUUCUUACUUUAAGCAUUUAGAUUACUUCUUGUUAUCAGUAUAGUCAAGUGGUCAGAACACGAGAAGACAUGUCACUAAACAACAACAUAUAUAGGAAAAAACAAACUCUGCUAAGUGAUCGAUCCGUGUGUGAUAGUUGCCUUCUUAACCUUGAACUAUUGCUUCCUGCUAGAUUAUAUGAACUUAGAUAUGUAUACAAAUUAGUAUUCAAUGAGUUCCCAAACAUUCGUGCAUAAACAAUUUCCCCUGUUGUCGUGCCACCAGGACUUAGCAUAUGUUCUGUAUUUGUAUAAUUUCGAUGAUGAUCAUGAGAUUGCUGGGAUAAUGGAGGCAUAUUAUUAUUGUGUAUUAGACCGUGACUCCUACAUCUCGAACUAGGAGGUCUUUGUGGUAUGACUAUACCAAAAUUCUAUACCAAAAUUCGGGGCCUUAAUUUCAGAUGUUUUUGUAGCUUGACAGCGACCAUAGAGUGGAAUCAAUGUUUUUUGUGAGACUUCAGCUUUGCAAACAGGGCAAUUUGGUUGUUGGUUAUCGAUGUUCUCUGAUGAAAUGGUCUUAAAAUGUAUCCAUUUGUAGAUGCAAGGCCAACAAUAGGAGGUGACCACAUAAUGUAACAACAGGAUCAUGUACAACAUCUAGGCAAAUGUUGCACUCGAAACCUCCAGGUGAAUUUUCUUCAAGUUUAUCAAGAUCAAUUGUCUCCAUUUUUCAAAGGAAAUAUCGCGUUGAUCAAAGGUAGUUUCUGCUAUUUGGUCUUGAAAAAUUUGUUCUAAGGCCAUAUUUGCCUCUUGGUAUUGAAUUAUUUUGGUAAUGGCAAGAUGAAGAAUGGUUAGAAUUCAGGUUUUUAAUACAAUUAGAAGUGAGUAUUUAUAAGGACAAAGAAUAGUAGUUUGCAAACAAUGAUUCUUAAGGUUGUCACUUGUCAACAUCACAUUAUGUUAAAGGGGCAUGGCCAAAAAGAAAAGGCCCUACACAUUAUUAAACAAC
rnacentral:lncRNA from 1 species